rnacentral:lncRNA from 1 species
CUCUCUUACCUUUCUCUCUAUUUUUAUAACUACUCUAAUUUAUAUAUUGUAUUUCUAUGGUGCGGUCCAGAGAAUGCAAGACAAUCUCAAGAAGCUCAAAGAUAUCAACCGAAAUCUCCGAAGGCAGAUUAGGUAUUAAUUAUAUUCUCAUCAUCAUCAUCUCUAUUUUUUUUAAAUAUAUAAUUUAAUUAAUUUUUUAAAUAUAUUAUUCAGGCAGAGGAUGGGGGAAUGUAUGAAUGAUCUGAGUUUUGAAGAACUCCGAUGUCUUGAGCAAGAUAUGGAUAAUGCUGUCAGGAUCAUCCGUGAACGCAAGGUCUAUUCUCUCUCUCUUAUCCCUUUUAAAAUUACUUCAUUUCUAUUUUACAUCUAUGUUUAUAACUAUCAUAAAUCAUCUUCAUCUAUUUGGUUUCUUGACUUAAUUACUUCUAUAAACGAUAUCAGUAGCUACUUUAAUUAAGUCUUGGGAGUUGAGUUUAGAUUUUUUAGAUUUUUUUGUAUUAUUAUUAAUGGUUUAUGUGCUCAUCUUGAUCGAUUAAAAUCACUCCCUUUUUUCAUUUGCCAUUUUUCUUCGAUGUAUAUGACUUUUUGAGCUAUCCUCUAGCUAUCUCAUGUAUUUUCUCUUGAAGAUAAUGCUUCACUUGUGGUAUUGGGGGUGUUUAGAUUUGCUUGUGAUAUAUCAACCUAGUUGAAGUGAGAUAUCUCGGUCGCGCCAUCAUUUCCUCUAUCUCUAGUAUCUUGUUUAAAAAACAGAAGUGUAUAGUGGAGGAGGGAGAAGAGCGUGGCUUCCUAAGAGCUUUGAUUGUGGUAGACCAAAUUCAACCUUACCAAAACGAAAAAAUUUACCUUAUCAUAACUUUUAAAGUAGUUCUGAGAGUCAAAAACUAUUCCGGGGAUAUUUGAGAGGAACUGUAAUGUUGUUUGAAUUACUUUGUCCUUUUCAAAAUCACAUUGAAACAUAUUUCUAAUAAUUUCUAAUAUAUUUUGAUGAUAUAAAAGUUAUAUUAUUUAAAAGUGUACAAUUGAGUAUUAAAUUAGUUUUGAGUGAUUAUACAAAAGUGAUUUGAACACUCUUAAAAUUGGUUCUCAAAUAUGCAUCUUUUUAUAUUUAAGGAUAUGUCAAUCAGAAGAGAAAUAUUUUUACUUUUUCAAAUAAUGUUUUUUUAGUUUGAGAUUCUAGUCUGGGAAAGUAUUGUUGCUUUUCAAAUAAGCUCUAAUUCAAACAACUAUUAAACCGUAAAUCAGGGUUAUACAAUAUUAAGUACAUGGGUUAUAUCUGAAGAAUACACAAUCAUUGUGAAGUUCUAAACCCACGAUCCUAAUUUAGAAAUCAAUUGGUUGCGCGGAUGUUUUUAUAACAAGAUACUAGAAGAAAGAGAUCAGUAUAGAUGCAUCAAUGGAUCAAGACUUCUCAACUAUGGACGGUUGAAAAUGAUUAAAUUGGUGUAUAAAAAACUUACUUUGUAAUUAUGAUGCAUCUAUCAUUUCUCUAGGUUAGAAAAUUUUCCACUAGAUUCCUCUGCCUACAUUUUUAUUAUUCAACGAAGGGAUUUCGUUGUUUCCUUUUAAAAGAAUGAUUUAUAAGCCCUUCAUAAUCUCACUUUUUAGCAUGUCAUAAAUUAUGUAUGUCUUAUCGACUUUGAUUCUAUAUUAAAUUUGGUAGACAUUAUUUUAGAGCUAGUUUGGAUUCACAAUACAAAAUAAUGUUUUUCAAAAAGUUAUUUUAUUAUUAUUUUUAAUAUAGAUUGUUUAAAGUAAUUCAAAAUGUUCCACAAGCUGGUUUUCAAGCACUAAAAUUUCUCAUGUACUUAUUUUAAAAACUAAAUCAAUGGUUAAAAAAUAUAUAGUAGUGAUCUUGCAUAUAAGUGCAAUAACUGUAAAUAUAGAUGCUUCUGUAUGUGUUACAUUAACCGAUUCAAAUUGAAACUUUGUUCAACAGUACCGGGUGAUCUCAAACCAGAUCGAAACACACAAGAAGAAGGUAAUUCAAAAUCAUUAUCAUUUAUAUAUAUUGAAACGUUGUUUGGGAGGUCUCUUUAAAUAUCUUACAAAAAUGUGUAGUUAGACUACUUUAACUGCUAUCUAAAAUGUAUUAUAAAAAGAAUUACCUUUGUGAUUGGACUAAAAAAUGAUUACCAUCUAGCCAGCCUGCCCUUAACAUGGUUCAAAUACAAAUAUUCUCCUACAUUCAGUUUGAAAUGAAUUUUGCACGGAGUCAAAAGGAUUGUAUUCAAAGUGUAUUUGAUUAUCGCAACUAGUUAGCACCCUCAAAUUCACACGAAUAAUAUGCACUCUUUCUACACAUUAUAUAGUUUUACGUCUUUAUAUAUAAAAAAAAGCGUUAGUUAUGUAGCAAACUGUGAGUAGAUGAUUAGAUAAGGUAUAUAAAGAUAAAUGAACCACAUGUAUACAUCAUAUAUGUAAGUAUUACUCAUUUAUUACUGGAACAAUGUUUUCUUUAAAGAAUGUGUUUAUAGAAGAGUAUUGCUUAGCUAGUUGGUGUCCAUUUAAUAGUUAAAAAGCUAAAAAGCCUACAUAGAACAAUAUGAUUGGACUGCAAUAUAGCUUGCAUGUAGCAGUAUUACCGUUCUAUAUUUAUUUUUUCAAAUAUAUUUCUUUUAGUAAGUUGAAUUCUUAUAAAAACAGUAUUAUCAAUUAAUCAAAAUUAUGUUUGUUUUUUUUUUCCUUACAAAAAGUAAGAACAAACCAUUUAACUUUUAAGGUUGAUAAUACAAAAACUGCGUAUAAGUUAACUUAUAUACUGGUUCUGACAGAAUAAGUAUCUGUUUAGAAUAAAUUUUCUAGUUUACAUGAUUAAAAAAAAUUAUUAAAAACUAAAGAACACUUUGUAAGCACUUGAUGGUUUUACAUCUUUUGUAUAUAUAUAUAAAGGUUUGACACAUAUGACAAAUGAUAGUUGGAUAAUUGGGUGGACUGCAGUUUCAAAGUAAUGUUAUAGUAACAUGAAAUUGAUUUGAUGUGGUGAAAAUGCAGUUAAAGAGCGUAGGAGAAAUACACAAGAGUCUUCUACAAGAGUUUGUAAGUGUGAUUAAGUUUAUUGGUAGAUAUACAUUAUGGUGUGUUACUAUGUAAUGAAAUGACAUAUAUGCACAUAUUAUAAAUAUUAAUUUGUGAGAGUACAGGACAUUGCAACAGAAGAAGAUCCACAUUAUGGGCUGGUAGACAAUGGAGGAGUAGGUGUAGGAAUUGGAGGAGGAGAUUAUGAGUCAAUUAUGGGGUUCUCAGGUGCUGCCCAUCCUCGCAUUUUUGCAUUGCGUCUCCAGCCCAACCACACCCACAACAACCAUCUUAAUAAUAUUCACCUUCAUCACCCUCCUCCUUCAGAUCUCACUACCUAUCCACUCCUUGAGUAGUCUAUAUAUUAUAUCAUUAAUUCCAACUCCUCUUUCAAACCCUAACUCAUGAUGUCUCACAACUAUAUAUGUUUUUAAUUUUGUUUAAUUUUUCCCUUUUCUUGGUUCAUUCAGUUGUUAAAUUGAAUGACAACACUUCCAAAGAGAUUAUAUGUAUGGUUUAUUUCUAGAUCAUAUGGGAUUUCCUUUUUUCUUGCCUAAGUUUGUUAUGAGUGAUGAGGAAUAUCACAGGGUUUAAAAUAUGGAGAACAACACACUACACUCCAUCUUUCUCAACAUCAUAAAUAAACCCUUUUGCCCAUUCAUUCUUUUUUCCAUUUUUUUAUCUCCUCUUAUGAAAUCAAUUCUAUUAUGGUUAUGUGCUAUCGAGUUAUUAUAGAAUCUUAUUCGUAAUAUAUUAUUGCUCAUAUUUACGUACAAGUAUGUAUAUUAUGAAUUUGUGAUAGAUUCUAUUAUCACCGAUAUCACUUUUUAUAAUUUUGGGUAGCAUGUACAUGCUUGGUUAAAGUGAGAGCAUCUUUGAAUGAUUUUAAGAUUUAUAAAAAAAAGGUGAUAGUACACCACUUUUGGUUCGGUAAAAAUGUCAAAACUCAAGUCCAACGUAGAUAAUUACAAAUAUCUUCUCAUGUUGUGCUUCAUUGAUACACUUGAAUUAGUUUGGUAUUAUACUUUUGAUUAUAUACCAUACGUCCAUUUGUUAUGCCUCACUGAUAUAUUUGUUAUUAGUUUGAUACACAUGUGAUGUACUAUUAAUACACUUAAUUAGGCUUCACUGAUACAUUCGAUGAACUUAAUAUACUUGAUAUAUUCCUAAUAAACUUAAUAAUACUUCACUAGUUGAUACACUCGACAAAUUUCGAUAGAUUUCAUAAGCUUGAUAUAGGUGAUAUGUUCGAUACACUUCAUGUACUGCUGAUACACGCUAUGUAUGUUUCAUUGAUAUACUCAAUUGAUUAAAUACACUUUAUAUACUUGAUACAAUAUUUAUAUAUUUUUUAUUAGAAAAGAAUAUGAGAUAGGUCCAGUGCAUCCAAGCAUUCCUAUUAGGUGGGCACCCUUUUAGCACAUUCAUCAUCCCCUUCAAAAUAUAUUCAUUAAUCGAAAGGAGGUACAAGGUGAUGAUCAAAAGAGGACUAAAGAUAAGAUUCGAAAGUAGAAAAGAGUCAGUCAAGUAAACACACUAAUGCUUAGAGCUAUUAUAGUGGGAGUAUAAUUAGAGAAAAUCUUGUUUCUAAAAGACGAAAAACCAGUGAGCUUGCAAAUAUCCUCCCAAAUGUUAAUAAUGCUAGCAAAUCAGUUGUUGAAGGUCGUCCUAUUGUUUCUCUCCAGCCAAAUUGACCAUAAAGUUGCCACCACAAUGUUGAAAUGAACCAUACAGUAUUGAUAUAUAUUGAUAUACUAAUAUAUUAUUGAUAUACUUGAAUGAUACAAUCAAUUAUAUCGUUAAUAGACUUUAUAAUCCAUUGGUUUAUACAAUACACUUAUGUACUUGAUACAAGAUAUUUAAGUUUAGAUUUUUCUUCCUAAAAGAAACACUCAAGUGAUACGUUGUCCAACAUUCCACACCUCCCUGCGAACUUCCUUCAUCGACUACUCAACCCUGUUGCACAUCCAAAACCUAUCAAAUGGGCUUAAGCCAACACAAAUGAGCUAAAUCGAUCCAGUCGAGACCUUAUGGACCGGUCUCCUCAAGUGUGGGCGCAUCUCCAAUUGAAGAGUGUCGCAGCGCUCAUGUGAUUCUCGACAGCACGCGACGCCUUGAGCUGUGCGCCACGACGCUUGUCCUCGAAUCUGAACUCCCUGUUUUUGGAUACCUUGUAAUUUUCUCCAAAUUUCACAAAUUUACCGCCUAAGAUCAAUUCCAAUGACUACCAAAAUUACAAACUCUCAAUGACACAAUAAAGGCCGUACAUGCCCACUACAAUAAUUAGUACACAACCAAACUUAAUUUAAUUGUCAAAAUUAUAAUAUAUCCAUGUUAGCUCCAACAACAUUCAUGAGAUGAAUUGACAUCCACCACAUACAACUAAUUAAUUAAUUGAAUGCCUAAGCAUGCUCUGAUAUCGAUUGAAGGACAAAUAUGCAUGCUAACGGAAGCAGUAGGAUCUAAAACAAUCUAAUUGUUUUUAAUUUUAUGGAUUAAACAUGCUUUAAAAUGGGGCACGUGCCCGACGCGACGUUAAAUGAAAGACGUCCUUUAAAUUCAUUAAUUUUAAAAUAAAACAACAAAAAUAGUUUGUCAUCAAUUUUUUUAUUGUGUGAUUGGACAACAAAAUAAAAUAAUUAUAAAAAAAAUGAUCUAGAACAAAUAGAGUUAAAUUUGAGAGUUAUUUAUAUAUGAGAAAAGUGUUAGCACCCCACAACAAUCGUUUAAAAAACUGGUGACAAAUUUCAAAUCUUUAAUUAAAAAUAUUCUUUAAUUUCUUUUAAAAAUAAUGUCUUAUUUUACCCUUAUUACUUAAAUAUUUGGAGCAAUGAUCUUACAAAAUGAGUAGAGAGGAUUUCAUCAAUUAAACAAUAUUGAGAAAAAAAAAUCUCACCGUAAAUGAGAAAUUAGUACCAUUUCUCAAAACUGUCAUGAUAUUAAUAGCCUUCCAACAGAGACACAUUUUUAAAACAUUAAUUCAUUUUUUUUGGACCAAAUCUUGGACUCCCAAAGAUGUGAUCCUGAACAUCAAGAAUUCUAUAAAAAAAAUUCUAUAAACGAUAUAAGUUAUUAGAAAAAUAUUAAGACUUACAUAAAUUUUAAUUAGAAGAAUUUAAAAUGUUGAAAGUUUUAUUAGAAAGAUUCAUAAAUUUUAAAUAAAAAUAAAAAUGAGAAUCAAUAGAAAAAUUAAAUAAAUAGAAACAAGAGUAAAGAGACAUCAUACGAUAUCAUAUUAAGACUUUGAUAAAAACAUAUUGGAAUUCGAGCUCCCACAUAAUCAACUGCUUAUCUCAAGAAUUUUAGAAAAUCGAACUUUCAAAUUUUCUAGAUUCUCUUAGUCGAAAAUUUUACAAAAAUAAUAUAUAUGAUAAAAAAGAAUUUGAAAGUUAUGAAAGCUUUCAAAUAUUUUAAAAGAAAUUUAAUGAGUAGAAAAAUAUUAAAUUCAACGCCAAAAUAGUAACUAAUGCAAAAUAUUAUAUAAACAACCCAUAUCAUUUAAAGAAACAUAACGAUGGAUUAAUGGACAUAAAAAAACACAUUAACAUUCUAGAGAAAAAUGAUUGAAGACCGAUUUCAAACUUCCAAAAGAAUUGAAUCCUCACCAAAUUUUCUAGAUUUCGUCGUCGGUUAUUUGUUAAAAGAAACUUAAUUUAAAAUGUUUUGUGGUUGAUUAUUUUUUAAAAGAAAAUAAUUUAAAAUGUUAACAAAUUUAAGCAACAAUUAGCAAUAGCAUAUUAAAUUGCCCACAAAAGAAGGAAAAAGUGAGAAUUGUAAAAAUAACAAAUUUGACAAAAUAUUUAUAAGCUAUAGUGACAUAGCAAAUAUUUGAUAGUCAAUUAUAUCAUUCUAAAGUGACAUUGAUAGCUAUUAAUAGAAGGAUAUCACUCGCUACCAUUGAUAGAAUUUAAAAAAAAAUUGAGUAAAUAUUUUAAUUUAUUUUGUUAUUUUUAAAAAUACCUCGAAAAAAUAUAAUUUUAUAAAAAACGAAAAAAUAGUGAAGAAACAAUAAUUAAUGUUAUGAAAAAAAAAAAGAAAACAUAAGUGAAAUAAAUAGAUCAAAUACUAAUUAUAAAAAAAGUAAAAUAAAUAUAUAAAGAAUAAAGCUCGAGAAUAAAUUAACAAAAGGAAGACAUAAUAAUAGAUAAAAAGAGAUUUAAUUGUUGGGUUUUUGGUCCUUAAUUUCAAAUUAAUUAAUUGAUUAAUGUUUCCAUGAUAACAAAUAUGAUUUUUUUUGUUGACAAUUUUAUUAUUUUGAAUAGUUCGUAAGGUAAAGCUUGAAACAAUGAUUCUGACACCUCUUGAAUCACCAAAAUCAAAUUUCAAACGAAAAGAAUAUAGUUAAAAGAAACUUAACCCGAAAUGGUGAGAUGACGGUCAAGUAUUCAAUUUGAACAAAGUAGAGAAAGUCAAUUAGAGCAAUGGAGGAGCAACAAACGUGGCUUUUAGUUUUGUUUUAUUGGAUUUUAUAAAGAAAGUGACUUUAUUAUUAUUAUUUAUCUUGAUAUCUAACGACUAGUUUUUUUUUAUAAAAAAAGUAGUGAAGUUGCUUUAUUGAGUUUUAAACAAAGUCUUUUGUAAAAAGACAUAUUAUUAUACUAUUAUUUCUAUUGUAUCUAACGGCCAAUUAAGUUUAUAUCUCAAUCAUUCACUUUUCUUUUACUUACAUCAAAUGACCCAAAAAUAUUUUGAAUUUAUCUUUUCCCUCUUUUUAAAUAUACUUCAUUUUCUCCAAAGUUUGAAUAACAUUAUUAAACUUUACAAUCCUCAAAAAGUGUAAGAGCGAGCAUUGUUAUUCUCUCUAAAGCUUCCAAUUUUUAUUCUUUUCAUCUUGUCCUUGAGAGAAUUCUUAUUGUAUAUUGUGAGGAUUAAUGAUCGAAGAUUCAAAUUGUAUACUCACUCUUUUAAAGAGUUUUCUUUUGUGUGAUUUAAAACUUCAACAUAUUGUAACGGUUGGAUCCUAACCUGUGAAAAAGACCGGAUUUGUUUUUGAACCGGAAAAAAAAGCAAGUAGUGGUUCGACUCUAAUCUGUGGAAAGAGUUAAAAGAAGAUUUUCAAUCAAAAUCUCGAGAGGUGCUUGAAAAAAUGGAUGUAGGUUGAGUUUAACCGAACCAAUAUAAAUUUACGAUGUUUUCUUCUGUAACUCUUUUCUAAUUGUUUUUGCAUUUAAUUUUAGUUAUAUAUUCUUGUUGGUUGAGUUUGAUUGCGUACUUCCAUUCAUAUCUUUUUAUCAAUAUGUUAUUUAACAUAUUUUAUAACGAUUUUUUUUAAAAUUAUCUAAUUAAUUUAAUUUAGGUUAAUCUCUUAAAAAGUUUAAUUAAACCCUAUUCACUCCCCUCUAGGGUUGCCACACUGAUCCAACGUUAACAACAACAUAUGAAGGAGGAUUCCGACGUUAGUGAAGAGUUGAAUGUGAAAGAGACGAGGGUUUGAACUUAGUGGUGAUGAGCAGAUCGUGAAAAAGACGAGGGUGGUAGUGAGGGCUGAGCAUGGCAGGCACGGGCUGGGUACGACGAACAUUGUGGUGGUGGGGGCGACUGUUGUUUGUGUUUGGAGAAGAGAGGGAAAAGUAGUGUGAGAUUUUGAGAAAUGAAGAAAAAUCGUGAAGGAAGCUGGAUUUGCGAUUGAUACUUUAGGCAUGAUUGGUAUAUUUGCAAUUGUCCUAAAUUUAAUUUAGUCAUAUGUUUAUGUCAAUUGAUGAGUUAUUGUUAGGUGUUAAAAUGUUAAUACUAAUCGGAAGUUGGAAUGACGUGUGACUUAUGCAACUUAAUAUGUUUUUUGGAAUGAUAUGGCCUAGUGAACUGAGCUAACAACAACAUUAUAUUAAACGAACCCAUGUCUAAUGCAACUACACAAGUUUUUAUGUAGACGAAGGAAAAAAUCACCAGUUAUUUCUAUAAUUAAUGAUCAUAGAUAUUUUAUUUUAGGUGAGAGCACUUUGUGGUGCUUUACAUUUGAACAAGUUUUCAUUUGCUACAGGAUCAAAGUACUUGGAGAAAUUUGCAGAACAAUACUUGUAUAGAAUGAAGUAGCCAAUGAUCCAAACUACGAAGAAAGAACUGAAAAUUUAAAACAAGAGAACAGGGGCAAUUUUUUCGAAGAUUUUUUAAUAUAUCCACCACAUACCAACUUGCUCUCAAGAAUCAGAUUCUUUAUAUGGUUAGGCUAAAGAAGAGUGUUCGUAAAACAUGUGGUGUGAUGUGUGUUUGAACGAAAGCAUAUUUACGACUCAAGUUUGCUUCAACUUGCAUACUUCUUCUGGAACCAUGAACUUGUAUUUUUGUUCUACUAUGCAGCAUUUAAGUUGAGUUGACAUUUAAAUUUAUGGACAAUUUAAGGACUAAAAUAGCAUAUAGAAACAAUAAUUUUUUUAAUUUUGCUAUAGGAAGCUUAUAAAUUUUAUAACUUGUUUUAAACACAAAACCUACAAGGUGGUUUGUUGCUAGUUUUAACAAAAGGGUAUACCAAAAACUAACUACCUAUUUUAUAAUAUUAUGAUUGUUGGAGUGUCGAUUGCGAGAGAAAAAUACAGUUAAACUAUAUAUGGUUAAUGUUAGAUCAUCCAUACCCUUUAAGAUAAUUAUCUUAAAGGAUAGGCGUAGUACUAAUUACUAUAGCCAAAACUUACCCUUCAAUACAAGUACUUAAUGAUGAAUGGGACCUGCACUUCCUCUUCCAAAUAUAGGGCUUGGAUUCCAAUCAUGGUAGUCUGUCACAAUUUCUGACUCGACCUUCAAAUGACCUUCAUCUUCCUUCACUUGAGAUUCAUAAUUGUCAUAAAAUGUCGAAGGUGCAUUGGUUUCAUAUAUCAUUGUUAUUAUUGUAAACAUCAUUGCACCAAAGAAUAAAUAGCGAACAACAGAUAUCGAUGCAAGUGUGGUUGUCGUCAUGCGAAAUUUUGGUGCCAUCAACUCCUUGUAAUUCAAGUUGAUGUUUCUUGUGACAUAUAUUAGAUCUUAAUAUUUCCUGAGAGAUGAGAUUGAGUUAUAAAUAAGCAUUAUUAGUGUUUGAAGUAAAUGAAUUCUCUUCACACGAGGUAGAUGCCAUAUCAUGUUUCUUUCAUGCACAUGGUAUUUUAUUAAAAACUGACGCUUACAAGCCCAUAACGCUCAAUUUUUUUUUUACACUUUUAGAACAUGUGAAAUACAUAUUUUGUCCUCAAUUUUAAAUGAAUCUCUUCUCACUUUUCCUCAAUUUAUAUAUUUUCCCUAGAUGCAUUUCUUCAUACGUUAGAACAUCACUUACCAAACAAUGAUCUAACUGUAAAUCUUGUGAAGUCAUUUAAAAAUAGAGAUGUUUUCUAGUUUUUACUACUAGUGUACUUCUCCGGAGAAGUUAAAAUUGUGACUCAUUUAUAAAAGUUAAUGUACUAUUACGCAUGACUUUUUAAACAUUUCACAAUUGUAUGUGCAUUAUUAACCAUAAAAAUUGUUUAAACUUUAUAUAAACAAUGUGAAAUUAGGUCAAUUAAAUUUCGCAUAAUAUUAUUAUUACUAAAAGAUAUGAUACUUAAAUGUGCAUUUUUUUAAAAAAGCAAAAUAAAUUAAAAUAUUUUAAGCUAUAGUAAAAUUUUUGGAUUAUAUAGUAAAAUUUUUGGAUUUUAUCCAUGAUUGCCAAUGACACUAAUAGAAGGAUAUCACUGACUAUCAAAUGUUUGUUAUUGAUAGAAUAUGAAAUUUUGCUAGAACUUAUAUAUAUUUUGUCAAAUUUGCUAAUUUUGACAAUUUUCCAUACUUAAAAUUAUAUAAAUUACAUGAGAUUCCCAAAUAGAUCAUAAAGAGAGAAGAAGUUUCCAAACAAAAAACUCUAUCAACACAACCAAUUAAGAUGUCUACAACAUGAAAAGCUACGUAAUGAUGAUGAUGAGCCGGUUAAGGAUAGACGAAGAGAGACGAGAGAGACGGAGAAGGAAAAAAGACCACUACACUUCUCGACAACAAGAAAUCAUAGCCGCCGCCAGAAAUCAACAGCUUCGCCCCUAAUAUUAAUUAUACCCUACCAUCAACUCAAUCACAAAUCAUAUACCAUCAAUCUCCAUGCAAUCAAUAUUUAUCUCACCGGUUCUUUAACCAAUCAAUAUACCUACCCACACUUUUCAUCAUUAUUUUUGCUUUAACUCCAACAAGUUACCACCUUCUUCAAAUACCCCAUCCUUACCUCCUACCUCCUUCUCGUCUUUACUUUACCCUGCUCUCAUGUGUCCUAUUCAAACAACUUAUCAUUUUCUAAACAAUUCCCUCGUUAUUGCCAAGUUGAGAAAAAAAAUUUACGUUGACAAUGGUCAAAAAGUCAAGACACAUACAUUUUCUCAUCAUUGAAACUAGCCACCAUAAGUCCUUUACCAUUGUGGCAUAUCUUGAUGAAAUAGAUUGGCAGAAGAAUGCUCUGAAGUCUCUAAUCGACACUCCAAUGAACAAUCGCUUUUUUUAGGAAACAAGAGGAGAUGGUUUCUGCAUGUGUUUAAGCAAAACACAAAACAAGGAAGAACAACUAACAUAAAUUUUCAAAGUAGAUGAUGAAGGUAGAAAAGACUGCCUCUUUGUCCCUAAGAGUGUUAGUCGAUCUGGUUGGGAAGCUUUUAUGAAUAUGCUUUCUUUCAAAUCGCCAACUGAAGUGAGAGCUGCAAGUACGAGCUACACUAGUAAAGAACCAUAUUACUCAUCAACUUCUGAAUCAUCUACAGAUGCUAAACUCAAAAGACAAAUAUAUGCUGAGGUGAUUUCUUCUGAUAACUCUAGUUAUGCUAGGUCUUCUGAAAGUGUUUACUCUAAAGAUUUAGCUUUUGAUGAUAGCAAAAAAAAAAAAAAAAAAAAAAAAAAAAAAAAAAAAAAAAAAAAAAAAAAAACUAAGGAACACGAAACAAACAUUUCUUGGAAAACAUUGUCGUAAUGACAAAGGCGUCUUUUCCACGAUGACUAGGAGAAAAUAUCAGAUAAACUACAAAGAGAAAUUGAAUCACAUUUCCUCAUCCAACCUUUCCAUGUAGAGAAGACCCUUCUAUUCUUAGAUGACAAGGAGUAGGUGAAGUUAUUAUGCAACAAGGGUUGGACUACAGUGGGUAAGUUUUAUGUGAAAUUUGAAAUAUGGUCUGAUGAUAAACAUGUCUACCCAACACUUGUACCGAGUUAUGGUGGAUGGAAAACUUUUAGAGGGUUACCUCUCAAGGCAUGGAACAUGAGCUCAUUCAAACAGAUUGGUGAUGCUUGCGGCGGAUUUGUGUAAGUAUCAAAGGCUACUUGGAGGAAAACUGAUCUUAUUGACAUCAGAUUGAAAGUGAAAGAAAACUACAUUGGCUUCAUUCCUUCUCAGAUAAGUAUUACAGAUGAAAAAGGAACCUCACACUCGGUUUAGACCAUCUCUUUCACAGAAGGAAGAUGGGUCAGAGAAAGAAAUGUUAGCAUUCAUGGCACUUUUUCCAGCAAGGCGGUAAGAAACUUUGAUGAAUACAAUCUGGAGGCUGAAAAAUACAAUGUGAAGGGGAGUUUUGCAUAUCCACCAAAAACAUUGAUCGAUAAAGAGAAAGCUCCCACCAGUAACAAACGUAAGCCUGAAAGAAGACAAAAAAAUUCAAUUUUUCAAAGCAUAGGAAACAAGGCUAUCAUAAUUUUUAAUAACUCUGAUGGUGGCAGAAAUCUGGGUGGCAGGUUAAAAUCAAUCAUCAUAGGAAGCACAGAUAAAGGAAAGAGUUUAAUGGUUUAUGAGGAUCAACAUACCCAUUCAUUAAAUCCUUACCAGAAAUGAAAAGUCUCAUUCUCAUCUCCAAAAAAUAAAACUUUCUUUUACAACCCCGAUAGUGCCUCUGCCAAGCCAAUCAGUAUUCAAAGUCCAAAUACAAACAAAACUAUCACACUAGAGUUAGUUAGAUAGCCCCCCAAAACCUAUCCAAAUUAGCUCGCCCAUUUAUAGAAAUGCACAAAGAAGAAAGAAAAGUCCUAAACAUGUACACAGGGCUAAAUCAAAGGUGCCAGUGUACUCAAUAAUCAAACAUGAAGAGCAACAGACAAUCAUCCCACAUGAGAUACACUAUGAAGGCAUUAAUCUUACAGUGGAUAUUGACAAUAUAUCCCUUCUUUCAAAUGAUAUGGAUGUUAAAUAUAUUUCAAUCCAAGAGUACUCCAUCAUCGAAAAUCUUAUACAACAAACACCUUCUCAAUCUGACAUCAUCAGGGACAACUUGACAACUCUAGUUAACAAAACAGAGGAGGAGGACAAGGAAGAAAAUUGGCUAGAAAAAAGGACAUCAGUGAAGAAAAUUUUCAGUAGAAGUUAAUCAUCUAGCUCAAGAACAACAAUCUCGUCUUGACUCCAAAUCCUAAAAACUCUCCAAGUACUUCGGGGGCAAAUAAUUCAGCUGGUAAAAUAGAUGAUAAUAGUGUAGAACCAUUGAGGUCAAAUAGUUCCUCAUGAAGGUGUUGUGCUGAAAUGUAAGAGGGAUCGACUCCUUCCAUAAAAGAGCUCAAAUAAAACAUAUUAUUUCUGACUAUACUUCUAAUUUUGACUUUCGAAUGUUAACAAAAAAUUAGUGAAGUCUGUGUGAAGCUCAAUCAACAUCAAAUAUAUAGCUAAACAAGUUGUUGGCAAAUUGGGAGGUAUACUUUUUUUGUGGGAUAACUUAAAGCACAAUGUCAUCAACUCUAUUAUGGGUGAUUUUACCAUCUUAGCAAACAUUGUGUAACUGGAUGACUUUAGUUGGUGGUUAACCACAAUUUAUAGCCAUGUCAAUAGAAGAAAAAAGAAAUUAUUUUGGAAUGAGAUAACUAACAUUGCCUCUACUUUUCUUCCAAAUUGGCUAUUAGCUAGAGAUUUAAUUGUUGUUAGGGGGAGUCAUGAAACGUCAUCUAGUAACCCUGCCAAACACAACAUGAAUAAGUUCAAUUCUCUCAUCGUUAAUCUUGGACUAGUUGAUCCCCCUUUGUCAAAUGGCUUAUACACUUGGUCAAAUCUCAGAGAUUCCCCAGUUCUAUCCAGGCUUGACAAAUUCCUUUAUACCCCUUCAUGGAAAAAUAAAUUUUCAAAUCACUCUAGCAAGCUUCUUACCAGAGCUACAUCUAAUCAUUUUCCUAUAAUGAUAGAAUCUUAUAACCUUAUCUACGGCCCGAUUUCUUUCAGAAUCAAUAAUUGUUUUUUGGAUGAUAAAGAGUUGCUUCACAAAGUAGUCUACUGGUGGACCAACACCUUUCAAGAUGGUUAUCCAGGUUAUGCCUUUAUAAGAUGGCUAAAAUAAUUGACAAAAAAAGUCAAAAUUAGCUAGCAGUUUGAGAAGAAAAAUGCAAAUAAAAGGGAUAUGGAAGCUAUCGAAGCUGAAAUUGAUAAGAUAGAUUUGUUGGAAGCUCAAAAUGCUAUUACUUCCAUUGAUAGUUGAAUGAAGAAAAUCACUAAAGAUAGUCGUGCUAAUCAUAUUAUCAAAGAAGCAUAAUUCUGAGCUCAAAGAGCGAAAAUAGUGUGGCUGGAGGAAGGAGAUUAAAAUAUCAACUUUUUUCAUAAGGUUUGCAACGUCAAAAAAGGAAGGAAUCAAAUAUCAAAUAUUAUUGAUAGUCUGGGAACACUUCAACUCCAUAUACACAUUUAACAAAAUCAAUCCAACGGUCAUAGAGAACCUUAACUGGCAGCUGAUAGACAUCACUCAAGCAACAUCCUGUGUUGCUUCGUUCACGUUGGAUGAAAUCAAGGAGGCAAUCUCAUCUUUCGAAAGUAACAAAGCACCGGGACCUGACAAAUACACUAUCAAUUUUUUUAAAAGAAUUAUGGAACAUUUUCAAGUCCAAUAUAUUGGAAGUGUUCCAAGAUUUUUUCGAAGAUGGUGUGAUAAAUAGAAAUAUGAAUGAAACAUAUAUCUAUCUUAUUGAAAAGAAAGAUAAAUUUUGAUCAGUUACCGACUUUAGACCUAUCAGCCUCACUACUCGCUAUACAUGAUUCUGGCCAAGACAUUAGCCACAAAACUGAAACCUCUAUUGCCUCAUACUGUCUCCAAUCAUCGAAUGGCAUUUGUCAAUGGGAGGCAGAUCACCGAUGUUAUCUUAAUUACAAACAAAGCCAUCUAUUUUUGGAAAGCAAAGAAGAUCAAAGGAUUGGUAUUCAAGCUCGAUACUGAAAAAGCUUUUGACAAGAUCAGCUAGAAUUUUAUUGACUUUAUGUUGAAGAAAAAACAUUUUUUAGACAAAUGGAGGAAAUGGAUACAUUCUUGUAUUUCAACGGUGCAAUAUUCUAUAUUGAUCAAUGGUAAAUCAUGGGGAAAGAUCUUACCAGGCAGAGGCAUCAGACAAGGAGAUCCUCUUUCUCCUUUUAUAUUUGUGAUAGCUAUGGAUUAUCUAAGCAGAAUUCUUCAACAUCUUGAACAAAUUGGCAUGCUAUCAGGUAUUCCAUAUAAGAUAUAAAUCUUAAUCACAUUCUCUUUGCAGGUGAUAUCCUACUUUUCAUUGAGGAUGAUGAUGAAAACAUUAUAAAUCUACAAUUUGCUAUACAUCUCUUUGAAAAGGCCUUUGUCAAUGGUAGGCAGGUCACCGAUGUUAUCUUAAUUGCAAACAAAGCCAUCGAUUUUUGGUCUUAACAUCAACCUCUCAAAGUCCACUAUCUCACUGGUCAAUGUCUCCAAAGAUAGAUAAGACCUUAUUGCAAACAACUGGGGCAUAAAGACAAUUUUUUUACCCAUCUCAUGUUUGGGUAUGCCAUUGAGGGUAAACCAAAUUCAAAAACAUUUUGGGACAACAUCACAGAGAAGAUACAGAAAAAGUUGAGUAACUGGAAAUACUCACAUUUAUAAAGGUGGGAAAAUCACUCUUAUCAAGUCCUCACUAACCAACCUCCCCACACAUCGGCUAUAUGUUUUUAAAGCCCUAACGUAUACGUGCAAAAUCAUUGAAAAUUUUUGUAGGAACUUUCUAUGGAGAGGCAAUUUUGACAACAUAUGCAUAUCUGGCACACAUAAGAACCACUUAAUUCCAGUCAAUCGGUCUACGAUCACAACCCCUCUUGAGCUCGGGGGCCUUGGUAUCACUCUAAUCACUACUACAAACUUUGCAUUGCUUACUAAAUGGUUAUGGAAGUACCAUGCACAAUGAACCCGAUGCUCUUUGGAAAUCUUUCAUCGAUGCUAAAUAUUCAACUACCGCUUUGUAAGUCAUACCCACAAUUGAAAAGUAUAGAAGUCACAAUGCUCCACUACAAGAAAAUGGAGCUCUCCUGACACACAUAAUCAUCGGAAUAUAUAUGAAAAGUGUUGAAAAAGGCUUUUUUGACGCAUAAAUAUACGUUGAGAUACAAGUUGGAAAAAAUAUAUAGGGAGAAAAACUCCCGACACUGAAUGUUGUGCGUCGGGAGUUCCUGGACAUCUUCCAACGUUGUUUGAACAUUGAAGACGCUGUCAAUAUAGCGUCAGGAGAUGUCCAGGAACUUCCGACGCGGAAUGUUGUGCGUCGAGAGUUCCUCUGUUUUUUUUUAGAAAAAAAAAUACCUGCCAUUUAAUAAUGGAAGGUAUAUACAUCCACCCUUAGAAUUACCUUAUAGGUAUCUUGUAAUUUCUUGAUGUCAUAUGGACUUUCUCCCUCGUCAACAUCUAUAAUUCUUUAAACCUAAAAUGCAAAUGUUGUUGGUUAAAGUAUAACAUUUUUUAUAAUCAACCCAUAUGCAUUCAAACAUCAAGCAUUCAAACAUUCAAACAAUCACAACGUAUCUAAUAUCUUGUAGCAAAAUAAUCUCAUCAAUAUCAAUGAGUAAAUUUCAAAUCAAAUUAAGUAUCUAUGAACUAACUACAAUGGAACAUGGACGUAGCCACAUAUGGGUAUUGCUACAUCUAAUUAUGCAUAUUCUUUUAUUGUUAAUACAUAUAGAAGAAAGAAGAUACAAAAAUUAGAACCAUAGAGGAACUUUAAGGUGUUAGUUUUAAAAUUUAAAAAAUAGAAACUUUGAUGAAAAAUAUUGCGUAACCUAAUUUGGAGGCCAAAACGGACGUUUCUUGGGAUGAAGGAAGGACAAGCUGCAUUCGGUAGCUUGCCAAGGGCAUAGAUCUCAAAAAGUUACAUGGAAUAAAAAAAAAAUACAAUUCGGACAACUACAUUCAAAUUUAUGGACUUCCAAAGUUUAACUAUAGUUUUAUGUAAUUGUGAAAAAGCGCAACAAGUCAUAUGCAUAAAAUGAGUUAGUAUUGAUGGAGAUAUGAAACUCAAAAGAUAAAUGAUGUGCAUGUAAAUGAAAAAGAACUAAAAAGCUUAUAACAUGGAGAAGUUUAUUACUAAAUAAAACUAAUAACUUAUCAAGUUGAAUCACAAAUAUUGAUGCAACAACAUCUCACAGCAAUAACAACAUUCCACAUCAUUUAUACAUAAACUAACUCUAAUUCAAUCACUCAUACAAAAUCAUAUAUAAAUCCAAUUCAACCACAAACUAACUAUAAAUUAUAAAAGCAACAUUCAAUAUAACCCUCCUUGAAUUCAAUAUAAUUUCUAAAUUUAAAUUAAAAAUUUGAGAUUCAAACUCAACUUCAACAUUUCAAUCUCAACUUCAACACUUCAAAUUCAAAAUCCUAAAACCUACAACUAAUUCAAAAUCCUAAGAACCCUUCAAAUUCAAAUUCAAUACUAAAACCUACAAUUAAUUCAAAAUCUAAAUACUAAAACUAAUUUGAAAUCUAAAACCUAAAACUAAUUUGAAAUCUAAAUACUAAAAUUAAUUAACUAAAACAAAACAAUAACUAAACUAAACCACUUACCGGAAUGAAGAGUGACGACAGAGAUGACGACGAACGGUCGGACAAGAACAACGGUGAGCGGGGUGUGGAUCUCUCUCCUUCUUGGUCUCUCUCUCAACUCUCUCGACCGUUCCUUUUCAGUUUUGUGAAUUACAGAACUGAAGUGGGUUUUUAUAAGAGAAUUUCCAAUGCACAUCGAAAACGUCGAGAGACACCCCGUAUUCCUGACACCAUAAGUAAAACAUUGAAAAUAGUUCACUUCUCUCGACAUUUUACAUAUAACGUCGGGAAUGACUAAACUUUUCCAGACGACGUGAAAAAAGACGUCGAGAAAAAUGUGAGAAUUAAAUAUUUAUUAUCUUCUUCUGACGCCUUGAACUACGACGUCGAAAAUACUUGUCUCGAUCGACGUGUAUUUUUUAUGCGUCAAAUAUUGACCUUUGUUCUGACGUUGCUCGUUUUAUGUCUUUUUCUGCGUUGGGAGAGCUCUGAUUUCUUGUAGUGCUCCUUGGAAAUCGAUUUGCAAAGGCCUCGAAUGGUUCAAUUCUCAAUUGGGUUGGAAAAUCAACAAUGGUAGACCACUAUCUUUCUCGCACAACAAUUGGUGCCAUCUUGGUCCUUUGUUUUGAACAUAUCCAAGAUUAUAUGCGUUAUCAGCUAAAUAAAAUGGCUCUUUAAUAGAUAUGUGAAAUUUUGAUUACAGAAAUUGGAACAAUCACAACAGAAAGCCUUUGAGGGACAGAGAAAUUGUGUAAUGGAGAAAUGUACAAACAAUUCUUCCCUCUCUCCCUGACAAUAAUCAUAAGGUUUGCUCUAUCUGAAAACCAAACAAAAAUGGCUUAUUCUCAGUUCAAUUUGUCAUACAUGCAAUACACAAUCCCUCUAUUAUCUUAGACGACUUCCUUCCUUUCAAGAAUCUUUGGAAGUCAAAAGACCCCAAAAAUGCAAAUUCUUCCUAUGAAUGGUUACUCACAAAGGGAUCCUCUAAAUUGAGUUAAUCCAACAUAGACUAAAAAUUCAUUGUCUCAACCCAAAUUGGUGCAUAUUAUGUAAAAGAAAAAAAUAUGAGACAACAUACCACAUCUUCCUCUACCGCUCUUUCGUUAAAAUCCUUCUAGAGCAAAGCAAAUGAUAUCAUUGGUUGGACGGCUAAUAAUGUUGACAGCCUAAAAGCCCUUUGCAAAUACAUUUGUUAUAUAAAUACCAAUUCUCAAAAGGGUUUGAUUCUCUUCAAACUUAAAAUUUUAGAUGCAAUAGAUGAAAUGCAAAAUAUUCUAUAUAAUUAUAAAUUAUAAAAGAAAAAUAAUUUGGUAUGCUAACAAAGAUAAUUUUGAUGGGGUGAAUUUCUCAAAAACAACAAAUUAAAGCAUAAAUCUACGAAAAUGUUUAAACUCUCAAUAAACAUGCACGUUCAUAAAUGAAAUCUGUGUGAUUCGUGAGAGAUGCGACAUCCGAUAUUUUGAAUCAUUAUUUUAUAAAAACAAUUAUAUUUCGAAAAAAAUAAAUGUCAAUCAUAUUUUUGUAAAACUUCAAAUAUAUUCGUUACCUUCAAAAUAAAGAAAUAGUUGAACAAUAUAACAAAAAAAAACAUAAAAAUAUUCUUACCUAUAAGCAAAAGCAAAUCGAACAAGUGUAAUGAUGAAACUCGUAUGAAAAUUAUAUUAGAACAUGUAUAAAAAAAUAUCUUUCAAUAACUAACUAUAGAGCACAUGAUUAAACAACACUAUGUAGAGAGAAAAAAAAGGCUAAUACUACAUUGUAUUGAAAAUACUAACCUAAAUAUAUAUAUAAAGUAGAGAUAACAAAGCAUAGAAAGGAAAAGAAGAAAAGAAACCUCUAAUAUUGUUUGUUGGAGACGAGUGAAAGAGAGCUUUUAAGGUUUGGUAUGGUAGAACAAAGAAGAAAAGAAACCUGCAAUUGUUGUUGGAGAUAUAAUUGAACUAAAGAGAGCUUUUUAUAGUUGGUAGGAAGAAUAAUGGUUAUAAGACUUUUGACACUCUAAGAUUAAAUAUAAUCUAAUGAAAAAAAUAAAAUUAUUUAUAUAUUUUUCUUUUAAAGUGUAAAAGUUUAAUUUUCAAUAAAUUUUUUUAAAAAAUUGCAUCAAAUGAUAAAUACAUUUGAAAAAAAAAUAUUUCAUGACACCAAUUUUUUUACACAUGGCAAAUAGGGUAAUAUCAACUCCAAUAUUAUAAAUUUUUGUUAUUUUAAAAGUCUCUUUUCAAAACAGCUGUUAAUGAAUCUCAUUUAAUGUAAUAUGGAGUGGAGCAAGAUUUUAAAAAAGAUUUUAAUCUAUAUAUAUCCGUAGUUUACAUAAAAACUAUUAGGUGGAUGACAAAUUUGUGAUUUAACACUAUUUAUAAUUAAUAAUUGUGUUGUUAACAAUUAAGGAUAUAUGAUUAAUUCAUUAAUUGAUUUUUUUUCAGAUAUUAAUAAUAUUUUUUUCUCAAAAGGAAAACCGUCCUUGAUGUAGUAAUGAAUCCUUAAUGCCUUAAAUCUUUCCACCUUCAUUUAUUGUUUACAAAUAAUGAGGAAAAGAAUUUCUAUGACACUUUUAUCCUUUCAUUCCUAUACUUUUUUACUAUUAUGUGGUGACAAAUUUGUCUCUUUACCCUAUUAAUAAUUAUAAUUGUUAGUAUUUAAGAAUGAUUAAUCUUUUAGAUAAUAGUAACAUAAACUUUUUCCAAUGGAUAGUCCUUCAUUGAUAUAGUAAUGAAUCAUUAAUGCUUUAAAUCUCACCAAAUACAAAUAAGGUUGGAUUCUUUUUUUUCAUAAAUAAGUUAGUUUUUUUAAAAAAUUAAUAAUAAUAACAUACACUUUUAGUUUCUAAAGUAUGAAAUUAAUGUUUAUUUAAUUUCUAAAAUUUAUGAAGGGUGACACUUUAGUUUUAUAGGUUUGUAAAAUCAUUUUAAAUGACUCAUCUGUAAAAUUGAUUGUUAGUCAACUAAUAAAAAAGAGAUGUGGAAAUGUUGAAUUGGUAAAAUUAGGUGACUUAAAAAUAUUUAAUAAUUUUGAUAUUUUUAAAAAUUUCUCUUUUUUUUUUUAUAUAUUUAUUAUUAUUUCAACAUUCAAGAUUAAAAGUGUAUUUUCUUUUCGUGUUCUGAAAAGAAAAAUAUGCCCUUUAAUAUUACAUAAAACUUUGUGUAUUAAACUUCUUCAGUCUCCAUUUAUUUGGUUUCACAAGCAUAACUAAAUUUCUAAUAAUAACAAAAAAAAAGAAAAAACGUAAUGACGAUUAGUACGAUAAGAAAUAAAUACUACUCUUCUUCCCCCAUACUCCUCUCCACCAUCUCUUUUUCUGUUUCCAUCUGAUGGGCUCUCUAAAUCCUCUUUAAAUGGGAAUAGUUAUGAACAUAAAAGCAAAAGAGCAUAAAACAUUCUUCUUCUUUGCUCAAGAAUUGCUAACGGAGACAAAGACAAAGUUCAAAACUCGAACCAUCAACAUCAAUCAAAGAUAUCUUUUCUACCCCAACUCAUUUUCUCUUUCUUGUAUUGGUUGGUUCAAUGUAAGAAUGUUUAAAUAAUUUGACUCGAACAAUACAGUCUAUCCAACUAGAAUUGUUGAGUUAAGUUAGUUUUUAUUUUGCAUUAUGUUGAACUCUUUAUGUUUCCUUCAAGUUGGGUUGAACUCGUGUUACAUUUGUAAAUGAUACACUACAACAUAUAUCCUUGUUAUCUUUGAAUGACAACUUUUAUAAAUAAAUAAAAAAUGUUAUUAAACACCUUAAAAUUUUGGCUAAAACAUGGGGCUAUUUUAUUGAUGAAAAAUAAAUAAACGAAACAAUCCCUCAAAUGUCCCUAUCCAAUAUAAAAAGUACAAUUAUUUACCUAAACCCAAAAUACAUUGUAAUUGAAAUAUCACAUGCUAUAUAAAAAUUUCUCACAAAAACAUAAAAAUUAGAAAAUUUGUCAAUAAUGUAAAACUCCACAUCGUGUCUGCAAAAUUUAAAAUUUAUUUCAAUGUCUAAAAGAUGCAAUUCAUUUGAAAUGAGUAAUUGCAAAAUUGAGACACAUUCAAUCAAAGGGUUUGGCUCCACACCUGUCGAACGGCCAUAGCCGAAAGCUUCAAAUUAAAAAGGGGUGCAUUGUUGAUAUUACAAUAAAGAUGAAAUCAUGAAAUUAUACCAUAGAAUUGAAAACUUAUAUGCAAGAUACGCAUUUGUGAGUUUGUCCACUCAAAUCGGUGAGUUUAUUCAUACAUUCUAGAUUCAUUUGAGCUCUUCACUCUUGUUUGCAAUAAAAAAAUUCUUUUUUAUAUUGUGUUUAUCUCUUAUUGGUUGUCUCUCUCAAUCUCUUUCUUUUCUUUUCUCUAAUAUAUAAUUUCAAAAAUGUCAUUCAGGCAUAAUUAAAUCCUAAAAUUUAAAUUCAAAUUUUUAUUAAAAAUAUAUAUUAAAAUUCAAAUUCAAAUUGUUAUUAAAAAUAUAUAUUAAAAUUCAAAUUCAAAUUUGUAUUAAAAGCUAUAUAUUACGUGUUAUUUAAUAAAUAUUUUAAAAUAUAACAAACUUGAAAAUAGUCAAUAGCAUAAAUCUAGCAACAAAAUAGUAAAUUUAGUUAACAUUUACCAAAUUUGAAUAUUGUUUGCAAAAUACACUUUGAAAUAUAAAUUAAAAUAACUAUCUAUUAUCUAAUAAAUUUUUCAAAAAUAAUUUGAAAAAUAAAUCCUUUGAAAAUAGUGGAUUAGUGAUUGUCAUUAUUUUAUGAAUUAGAUUUCACAAUAUUUGAAUUCAAAAUAGUAUGAUCUAAGGUAAGAGGAACCGUUGAAAAUAUUUUAACAAUUUUUUAGAUAAAAUAUUUAUUAAACAUAAGCUUUAUGAAUUAAAUAAAUAAAUGUUAAUUAAUUUGAUUUGAAUAUUAAAAAUCCAAAAAUUUGUUAUGAGUUAUAGGCAUAUAUUUAGGAGAUAUUGAGAAAACCUUGAAAAUAUCUUAAAUUAGUCAAUAUUUUUCAAAAGUUUGCAAAUAAUAUUUAUUCUCAUUAUUUGUAUCAUGUAAAUACAAGUAAAACAUGUAUUAUCUAUUUGUAUCAUGUAAAUACAAGUAAAACAUGUAUUAUCUUACAUAAAGAGAUAUAACACACGUAUUAUACUUCUUGAUUACACAUGCAUAACAAUGAUAAUUGGAAAUAAAACGUCGCAUACAAAAUAAAACAUCUAAUUAAAAUAAAUAUGAAUAUUAGUGUAAUUAAAAAACACAAUGUGAAAAAUAAUUAUCUGAUACAAGAAGCACAAUAAAUUAUUUUUUUAAUAAAAAUCAAUCAAAAUAAGUGUAUAAUCAUAAUUAGCACGAUUGCAGUGAUGAUAAAACUUUAUUUUUAAAUUAUUAUUAACUAUAGGUACUAUGUAUUAUCUGAUAAUUUUUUUAAAAUAACUUGAAAUAUAAAUAAUACGAAAUGCUUAAUUUAUGUUUGCUAUUAAGGAUAUGAUGUAAUAUUUGAAAUCAAAAUAUUAUGAAGUAUAAUGAUUUGGGAAGGGUUGAAAUUCUCAUAACCAUUUUUUAUUAACCCUAGGUACUAUGUAUUUAUAUGAAAAUAAUAAAGUAGCCAACAUGAGCUAAGCUCGUGACACCAAUUUGUAACCGCAAGUUUUUUAUAGUUAUAUUAAAUUUGGCUACUUCGAGAGGGUUAUCUCAAUUUGGGGGUUAGGCCAAAUAAAAGUCAUUUCUAGAAAUUCUUAAUUAUUAGAAAUGAAUGGUAAGAGAUAAGUAGAGAAAAUUGAAAAAAUAUAGGAGAAAGGAUGGUAACCUAAAUCUUAUAAAUAAGAGGUAUGUAUUAGAAAAAAGAAAAUUAGAAGUGUAAUAACACCUCAAUUCUCUCUUCCAAAUUUCCUGAGCUUCCAAGAUUCCUUUCCAACACAGCUUUGAUCUGACUUCCAAGGAGACUGCAGUAUUAUCGGUUGGUACUUAAUUGUUUGGUUAUUUUUUUCUUCAAUUCUUUAGUGGAUAAUCUUGUUUUAUGUAUAUCUGUUACUUAUGAUCUAACCACUAAGAAUCUUCUCGCUUCUUUCUUAUUCUUUAGUCUGAUCGCGGCCAAGACCGUUCUUUUAAAAGAUAUGAUUGAGCAAACGGUGGUGGUUCUGUUCUUCUGCCAUGUGUUGCUCUUUGCCGGCAUGUCUUUUACCCAGGCUGCUGCCGCCGGCCACUGGAAACUUCUGCAGGGAACCAUCGGCAUUUCAGCCAUGCACAUGCAGCUCCUCCACAAUGAUCGGGUCGUCAUGUUCGACGGCACCGGCUUUGGCCCAUCCAACUUGUCGUUCCCCACAGCAAGAUGCGCAAGAUCCUACAAUGGACGUCGUAUCAGCUUCGACUGUACUGCCCAUUCCGUCGAGUACGACGUAGCCACCAACACAUUCCGACCACUCGCCGUCCAGACAGAUAUGUGGUGCUCGUCUGGAGGAGCCAUGCGCGACGGCACUCUGGUUCAAACCGGCGGUUUCAAGGCCGGAGACCGAACCGUCAGGAUCUUUAAACCUUGCCCAACAUGUGAUUGGGAAGAAAUUCCGAUGGGGUUACUCACCCGUCGGUGGUAUGCCACCAACCACAUUCUCCCCGACGGCAGCCAGAUCAUCAUCGGCGGCCGGAAACGCUUUAGCUAUGAAUUCUUUCCUAAACCUGCAGCCUUUAAUUGGCCUUUGGCGAAGACCAAUUCUGUUCCUGAGGCAUAUAGAUUGCCGUUCUUGAUACAAACCAACGAUGGCCAUGCCGAAAACAAUUUAUACCCAUUUGUGUUUCUUCAUAUCGAUGGAAGCUUGUUCAUCUUCGCGAAUAAUCGAGCGAUCUUAUUCGACUACACCAAGAACAAGAUUCUCAAAACCUUUCCGAAAAUUCCCGGCGGCGAUCCGAGGAAUUACCCAAGUACUGGAUCAGCGGUGAUUCUUCCAUUGAAUUUGCAGGCGAAAUUACUUGAAGUCGAGGUAAUGGUGUGCGGGGGAGCUCCAAAAGGAGCCAGUAUAAAAGCCCGCAAUGGAGUUUUCGUUGAAGCAUUGAACACAUGCGCAAGAAUCAAAAUUACAAGUCCAAAUCCCAAGUGGCUCCUUGAGAUUAUGCCACUUUCUCGAGUUAUGGGCGACAUGUUGUUACUUCCAAACGGCAACGUUUUGCUGAUCAACGGCGGGUCGUUCGGUACUGCUGGCUGGGAACUUGCCCGGAAUCCGGUACUCAAUCCUGUUCUUUACCUACCCAAUAACCCACACGGGUCAAGAUUCGAAGUGAAUGACCCGAGUACUACCCCUCGUAUGUAUCAUUCGACUGCGAUCUUACUUCGUGACGGCCGUAUUCUUGUCGGCGGGAGCAACCCACAACCGGGUUACAAUUUCUCAGGCGUUCUGUUUCCGACGGAACUUAGCUUAGAAGCAUUUCAUCCUCCAUAUCUUGAUCCUGAAUUCGCAGCCUUGCGUCCCACAAUAAUAGAACCCAGAUCCCAAGUCAUGGUAUUUCAUGGACAGAGAUUGAAGGUGGAGUUUACGGUGAUCGACGAAUUGGAUCCGACGAAAGUCUCGGUCACCAUGUUGGCUCCGCCGUUCAAUACCCAUUCAUUCUCGAUGAACCAAAGACUGUUGGUGCUCGGCCGCAGCAAUGUGACGACGACCAUAUGGCCGGAACUGAUGUAUGAAGUUGAAGUUAAUGUUCCUGUUUCUGGUAAUAUUGCACCGUCGGGGUUUUAUAUAUUAUUUGUUGUUCAUCAAUGCGUUCCAAGUGAAGGAAUUUGGGUCCAAAUACUGUGAUAAUUGACGUUCUUGUUUCAUUUUUUUUAAUACAUAUAUUUUGAUUCUUGAAGUUGAGUUUGAUCAUUGAACGGGCUUGUGAGCUUCUUGCAAUUCAAUCAAAUUCUUUUAGAAAUGUGUUUAUGCAUGAAAUCGUAAUAACAAAACCAAAACUUUUCUGCCAUUAGUUCUGUUUUCGAAAAAUAUAUAAAUUUCAUAUGACAGUUAAUACUUCCAAAUACAAAAUUUAUCCACAAGUUAUUUAGGUCUCAGCACUAUAAUGAAUUGUUCAAGAUAUAAUACAUAAAUAUGUAUGCCCCAUCCAUAUCUCAAAUAUAGCGUAUAAUUUUUUUGAUGAUGACUUACAAAAUAAAUUAUCACGAGCAAUAGGUUAAGUAGUGGGAUAUAUACUUGUUGUAUUAAGUAUAUAUAUGUAGACAAGAAUUACAAGAUUGUAUCUAAAAAUGUAUUAAAGGACGAGUACAUCUUUUUCCAACUGAUAGGCACCGUACCUUAAUCAUCAACAACAUGUUCAUGAGCUCAUCAAUAUCUGCACUUCUUUGAGUUUACUCAUCCUCAGUGGAAUUUUGGUAGAAAAUAACAAAAACAUCAUUGGUUGUGGUUAGUGCACUAAUAGAUAGCAAAAUUUGUAUUGAAAUUCUGGAACAAAUAAUACUCUUCUUAGCUUCUGAUGUUGAGAGCAAGCAAUGAGAGAAAUGUGAUAUUUGUUGCAUUAUAUGUAUUAACUUAUAUAUAUAUAGACACAAGAGUUACAAUAGUGUAGCAAAUUAUCUCCAAUAUAUAGAUUAAAAAAAGUAAUAGACCGAUAACCUCCUGACCAAAAAGUUAAUAAUUAUUAAAGUAAAUUUAACCCAAACAUAAUUGAAAUAAUAUUUUUGAGUUUUGAUACUCAUCUUUAUAGUUGUUUUAGAAAACCAACACUUUUCUACCCUUGGUUAUUCUAGAAAAAUAUAUAAAUGUCAAAUAUUAGUUAAUACUUCAAAUACAAAAUUUAUGUAAGACUUCCAUAAUUUAUUUAUGAAAAAUUAUCUAAGUCUCGUUUGAUAACUAUUUAAGCAGUUUUUUAAAAAUAUAAUAAAUUGGCAAAAUAUUUACAAUGUAUAGACCAAAUUUGAAAACGGAAAAAGUCUACGUAGCCCAUGAUGUAAAAUACCAAAAUUAUCUCAAACAACAUGCGAUAAAUCGACCAUAUGCGAUAAAUCGACCAUAUGUGCGCAAUAAACAAUCGUCUAGAACGAUACUCGAUCUCGGACAUACCAUGCCUCAGAAUGAAAGAAUUGUGUCUUUAAUUCAUUCGAUAUCAGGCAUACAAUAUACCGAGAUGAAAGAUAGAAGUGUGGAUCUACACGAUCAUAUCUACCAUCAAGUCAUAUUGUCAACCGUCAAUUAUCCUUUUCAUCAAAAUAGUCCACAAAAUCAUUUGUUGAUUUGUUUCCUAAUCUUAUCUUGUCUACCUUCAAUCAUAUUGUCUCUGCUAUUUUGCAUUCUAAUAUGGCUACUAUUUAGUGUGAUGGGACGUGGUUUUUGAAUAGGGUUGAGCAUAUAUGAUUGAGUAUUUAUCUUAGGAUGUGAAUGUUUCUUUACAUAAUGUUGUUGGAAGUAAUUCUUCUUAUUCCCGUCUAACAGCUAAAGUUAUUAUUAACAAUGUCAACAAACAUAGAUGUUGUAUCGUAUGUUAAGAAUAUUGAUAGCAAAGUUGUUUGGCUCCUGUCACAAAUUUUGUUGAAGUUGAGGUUCUUCGUCAAUUUACUCGAUCUUCCAAUCCUCCUUCAUACUUGAAAUAUUUUUAUUGUAGUUUCCUCUGAUAUCUAAGUAUCCUUGGUAAAGAUAUUUAGAUUAUAACAAACUUUCUCCUUCAUAGAAAUCUUGUCUUACAAUUUCAUCAACUUUUUUAACCUACUUUUUAUCCAUAGUAUUCCCAUGAAAGAUGAGUUGAAAGUUACGGAAACUAACGACACUUGAUCUAUCGUAUCCUUACCUUAUGGUAAAGACUCCAAUGAUUGUAAAUGGGUUUGUAAAGUGAAGUUCAAGGUUGAGAUACAAUUAAGAAAUAUAAAGCUCGUUCAGUUGCCAAGGUUUGUACUCCAACGAUCAAACUUUUUUUUCACGUUGUGAAGCUUGUGACUGUUAAAAGACUAAAAUGUGACUUAAUCAAUCUGAUUACUUCUUUGAAUUGAACUUUAGUUCAGGAUGUAGAUACUACUUUUUUGCAUGAUGAUCUUAGCUUGUUGAAGAAGUGUAUAUGAAUCUACCUAUAGGUUAUAAUUAACAAAAUUGUGUUGUGCCUAUGGGGGAGAAAUUAGUGUGUAAACUUCACAAAUAUUUGUGCCCAAGAGGGAGAGUAGUCUAUACAAAUGGAUUGGAACAAACAACUAGGCAAUGGUUUGAUAAGUUUUCUCAUGGCCUUUAUUCUUAGGUUUCAAACAGUCUAGGAGUGAUUACUCAUUGUUUGUUUUUGGUUCUGGUUCUGGAGCACCUUUCAGUGUUUUGAUGGUUUACAUCGAUGAUAUAUAAUAGUAUCAUAGGUGUCUCUCUAGUUGAAUUUACUCGUUUAACUAAGCAUAUUAAUUAAUGAUGUUUAGUUUCUCAAAGACUUAGGAUUUAUUGAUAUACGUGCUUUCUAGGGUUAGAGAUUGCUCAAUCUACAAACCCUAAAUUCUACAGUGCACUAACUUGAAAAUACAAUGUUCUUACCCUCAAAGCAUUAUUUUCUUAAUUAUUGCUAUAUAUGGAUCUUCAUGUGAAAUUACAUACUGAUGAAAUUUCUCUUUUAGAUGAUCCUAUUUUCAUUGAAGAUUAAUUGGGAGGCUCUUGUACUUAACCUAUCGUGUAGAUGUAACUUUUAUUAUUGUCCAUAAUUAAACUCAACCAGUUUUUUCCUAAGCCAACUACAAUCACAUUUCCAAAUUGUUCAUACAAUGUUAAGGUCUUGGAAGUUUUCUACAAGCCAAGGCAUAUAUUUUUCUAACUACUUCAUCUCGUUUAAGCACAAAGCCUUUUAUGGUGCUGAUUAAUGGACAUCUUAUCUAGACUGAACGAUCACACAAGUCAGCUAGUGGAUUUUAUGUGUUCUUUGAGAGAGUCCUUCGUUUCUUGAAAAUCUAAGUAGAAGAGCAUCAUGUCUCUUUCAUUUGUUGAGGUAGAAUAUAUGACCUUGGUUUAUAUAACUAGUGAGUUCGUGUGGUUGACUUGAUUGCUUACUAGUUUGUCAGGUCGUCCCUUUGUAUAGUCAUCUCUUAUAUAUAUAUAGAUAUAUAGAUAUAUUGUAACAAUGAUGUUGCAAAACAUGUUACUUCUAACCUUAAGAGCAUGAAGCACGUCAAGUUAGAUUGUCAUUUAAUUCGAGACCAUGUUUGUUAAAUGCGUUAUUGUCAAAUUUAUAUGCCUAUUCAAUCUCCUUCUCAGCUUAUGAAUGUAUGCACUCUCUUCCUCCUUCUCAUUUUAUAUUGUCCAAAGAUCACUUCUUUAUAUAAACUUAUUGAGAAUGAUUAUGAUCUAGUUCAUGCCUUAUUAGAAGUAGAAGGCGUUUCUAGUGAGAUAUCUCCAUAGACAGAAUAAGAUUGCAAUCGGUUUGAGAAUGAUCGAGUGUCUUUGCUUCUUUGGUUUGAACCCAUGAAUCCCUUAGAUAUGAUACAAAGUGAAUCUUUUUCUAUUGUUGAUCAGAGAUUUCUCUAUGAAAAUUGGAAGGAGAAGGAGUCAUCGACCCACAAUAUAUAAAGUAGGAUUUAUUCAACUACAUAGUUUGGGUCGUAGAAUAUGAAACCCUUUUUUUUAUGUUGAGAAGGAAUAUUAGAAUUAGCUAUUUUAACCCUCGUUAGUUAUGUCCAGUUACUCUCUAACUCUCUUGUAAUUACCAUGACUAUCUAGCAUAUUUCUAUUUUCUCAGCAUAAAAACUACCCGCAAGUAUUUUAUUAUCUCAAGUCUAAUAAAUUAAACAUGGUAAGCUUUUCUUUUCUUUGGUUUAUAAAAUUUGUGCAUAAAUUAAGAGUUAGGAAACAACGAUUAAAAAAAAAAAAUAAAACCACCUAUGAUUAAGAUAGAAAUGAAUAUAGAUAUCCAAUAUGAACAUUUGUUUGGUUGGCGUAAGGUCACCAUAGUUAAAAAUAAACUUUGAAUUUAUAUGUUCUAAUUGGUAAUUUAAGACCGAUAAUAUGUUAAUUGCAGCGGCCAUUUUCCCAAAAAUAAAAAUAGCAAUCUUAUAUAAAAGAAAACAACAAUACUAAUUACUAUUACAUUAUGUCCACGAGUGUCUCAGAUCGUAACACCCCACCAACCAAAGCUUACUAAUUAAUCAUUUUUCUUUUAUCUAUUCUUAUUAUAAACUUAUGUUCGCUUUCAUUGCAUUUGGACCCAUUGGGACUAGUUAGUUUAAUUUUAAUUUUCAAACUUUCAUAUAAUUUUAUAUUUGUUAUUAAAACUAUACUUCUCACACAAGAAGAAAAAUGUGAGUUCUCCUCCUUCCUCCGUGGGAAAGAUUGGAAAUUUUUUACUUUAGAAGAUCUAGAGAAAAUUCUCCUAAAAGCUACAGAACUCUCGAACUCCUGAAGUCGACCGUUCUCAAAUAUUGAAGCUCUUUUGAAGAUACAGGCUUUCUUCUAAUACUUCAACUUCAAGAACAUCACGUGAUUUGUUUUCUCCAAAUCAAACAUAGGCGAAACCAAGAGAAUCAAAAGAUCAAAUUCUAGAUAUCAAACCAUAUCGCAUCAAAUCAAUACAAGCACAACAUCAACACAAGUUCUACUCCACAAAUCAAAUUUCUUCAAAAAUCUCGUGUGAAUAACAAUCUUUCACUUAGAUGUCGAAUUUCGGUCUUUAUGUUUAUAGUUGUUUUACUCAAAAGUAAUAACUAAAUCUCAAUAUUGAUUUUGUUUUGUACGACUUCAAGAAAUAGUCCAUUAUAUCUAGAUCUAGCACUUAAGCUUAAUAUACAUGUAUCCUUGCUUUUCUUGCCAUAGAUAAUGGUAUAAAUUUUUUCCCUCCUAUUUGAUUUGUGUAUAGAAUUAUUGAAGAGAUAAAAGUCAAUGGCAACGGAAGAUUCUAUAGAAUUAUUUCUCAACUUAAUUUGGCAAUUUCAAAAUACCUAUACAUUGGUAAAAAUAAUUAAGAAACUAGUUUUCUUAUUAAGACUUAAAGGCUAAACAUGCUUUCUAAUUAUAGAUUAGAGAAAGAAAAACUUACUUGUUUAUGUCUCUAAAUUUACAAAGUAAAAUCCCCAAAUUGGGACACCACCCGUGAUUGCUGACGAAUUGUUGACAUCGCGUUGACGUCAUGAUGAUGUCAGUGCUUCUUCAACUUGACGAGUGAUUUUUUUUUUUUUUUUUUUUUGUAAAUUCUCCCUUUGGAGGCCUUCUCGUGGUUCGUUUUGGGCGAAUUUGGUACCAUUUUUCUCAUAAAAAUGCUAUGAAUCCAAAAUUGGACUGUAAUUUACAAGAUUUACAAUUAAAAUUGCCCACAAAAACAUGGACCUUUACAUGACCAUAUAAAAAAAACUAUAAAUCUAUGACCAAAUUUUACCGAAAACAUUCACAAUUUCAAACCACAUUCACAAUGCAAAAAAUCUCACCUAACCAAUGCAGAUUUUAAAAUUUUUAAUUAAAAUUUGAGAUAGCUCGAAUACCAAUUGAAGGGAUAAAAGCUUUAUUACAGUGAAAGAUUUUAGGGAACCAUUCCUCAAAUUAAUUUGGAAAUCCCAAAAUUCGAGUAGAUUGGUAAAAUUUAGAAUCAAAAUUGUAACUAAAAACUAAGCAUUAUUUUAAUUUAAAAGAUAUAGAGAACUUACAUUUGUUGACUUCUCUGAAUCUACAAACCACCGAAUUAGGGACACCACCUGUUAGAGACCUUUUUAUUCUCUUGGAUGAGAUUGGUUUGUGGGAACCAAUUGGAAUGAAAAAAGAUUUAGAAAUAUUUGAGAGAAACUUUUUCUUUUUGCAGAUAGCAAAAGCGUUGAUUUUUUUUCUUGAUUAAUGCGUUAAAGAAAAUUGUUUUCUUCUAAAUAUUUAUAAUUUUCUUUCCUUCUUGGAAUAGAAGGGGGAGUAGGAGAGAAUUGUGAGAUUUUAUUAAUUUGUUCUUAUUCACAUUAAACUAAUAUUUGAACUCAUUAAAAUAUUUUAUCUCUCACAAAUUAAUUUUGAAUCAUAUCCAAGAUUAAAUUUAUAUUAUAAAAUUUGAUAAACUUUAUAUUAUAAUGUAUCACUACACAUUAUACUAAUUCUCAAAGUAAAUUUGAACAUUUCAAAUUACAAUCAAUAUAAAUAAAUCUCAUUACCAUUUACGAGCUAGGAAGAGAACCUAAUGGAUUUAUAGAUCAGAAGCUACAACGAUCUAAGAUUAAUUGGCUAAACUCAUUAACCACAUUAAUCAGUAUUCGUUAACUGUGUGUACACUCCACUAAAGACUCAUAGCUGAAAUCUUCUCACUAUAAAUAUAUUUCUAUGUCCACAUAUAUAGACCAAUAACAAUAAGUUAGUCCUUCACGAGUGUUCGUAACACUAGUUGGGUCAAUUUACCGUUUUACCUAUGGGUUACCUUUAAUCCUUAAAUACUAUUGCUCCUCUAAUGAACAACCAGUUUAUGGCUAUCAAUAAACAGAAACCCAUCUCGUGCCAUAGAGAGGGUAGAGUCCUUUGUUCAAGUCCUGGAGACACCAUUUAUGGAAACACUCAUCUACUUAUCCUAAAGUAGGGAAUUGGUGAAUUUCAUCUUGUGUAAUUAUGUUUCUACCUUUUCGCUCGAUCUUGUCUCUAAAAUGAUAAAUUUAUUGAGUCGAUGAUCUAGCCAUUCUCGCCCCUUACAAAUCAAAAAACAAUCUCUCGCAAACAGGAGUUCAUAAUACACUCAGGAUUAAGACUAAGUUACCUAGGUCAUCCUAAUGAAAUAAAAACCUAACUAGUUAAUGGAGUUACAUUUAAUGGUUGAUAUUUCGCGAUCCGGUCUUAUGGAAACUUAUUGCAUAGGAUACUCCCACUCGCAUGUUAACUACACAAACGCGUCGGAUCAUUGCGUUUGUAUCAAAUACAAAGUGAGUCGUAUCCAUAGUGUUACCAAGAUGAGGUACUUAGUCUUAUCCUUAUACUAUAAACCCUUUAAGUUGAUCUUGAACAUUGAUAAUUGUAUGUCUCUACAUAUUGUUCAAGACUCAUUAAACAGAUUAGGAUGUUAGUUUAUUGGAUUUGGGUUAUUAAAACAAAACUAAUAAUAUAAUCAAUAACAAUUAUUACAAUAACAAUAUUUUAUUAACGGUCAAUAUAAUAUAUUUACAAUCUACGAGUUUUAGGAUAUAAAUCCCAACAAUUAUAUCACCUUCCUAUUUUGUGGCGUGAUAAUCUUAGUGUUGUUCACUUAAGUGAAAAUCUUAUUUUACACUCCAAGACCAAGCAUGUUGAGCUAGAUAUUUACUUUAUUCGGGAUCUUGUCCAAAAAUAAAAGAUCACGGUUUGUCACCUAUCUGCCUCAUAACAAAUAGUUGAUGUUCUAACCAAAUCAUUUGUUGGAGAUGUAAGAGUCUCACAUUAGAAAAAGCAAGGAAACUUAAUUCCAUAUGAUAUUGAUAAGCUACUAUUCCCAUUGUUGAUUGAUUUUGAGAUGAAACACUAUAUUAUCAAGCAUCAUCCUGAAGGGGGUAAGCAGCAAAACAUCAGCUUGAAGGCUUUACAGUCAACUUCUGUUUGUAUUCUAUUGUGCGUAGGCCCAUUCCUUUAUUUAUUAAUCUUCAAAGCCUUCUAGAAUAUGUUUGUUUUGUAUGAGAAUUGAUCUAAUGUGUCACCGAGUUUUUCCCCUUGCUUUUCUAUAUAUAUUUGGUUCUCUUCGUAUCUCAUAUUCCAAAAUAUCAACUCCAAAUAUAAAUCAAAUCAUCAAACAAACAAUGAAGUGCAUACAUUGUUGUGUCGUUCUUAUUAAAUGAUUAUAAGAAAUGAUACAACAUAUGUUACAUAUAUAUAAUCUUAUUCUUACUGCUUCGGACCUCUUUUAUGUGCAAAUGUCUUUUGAUCAAAUUAGAAAAAUAGAAAUUGAGGUAUUAAGAGGGAAAAGAAGAAUUUGUCAAAGCCAAAUUAAAGGUUGCCUUCUUGUUCAAGUAGUGAACUAUAAAAAAGUUUAUCAACGGUUCAAAAAAUAUAUAUAAAAAUUUAUCAACUUCAUUUCAAUUCCUUCUUAUCGCUAUCAUUUGUGUUUGAAUGGAAUUUUCUUUUAUAGUUGGAGGAUAAUUUUUCUCUUUUUGGAAACUAAUUCAUAUUUAUUCCAAUAUGAAACCAAAACGGAUAAGAAAAUGACGAAUAUUUUUUCCCAUUUUUUAAAAUAAUACAUGAAUAUUAAUUAUUAAUUAGUUGAUUCUCUAAAUUGAUUGUUAUUUGGGUUUCUACUUUCUACAUUUUAAUUCAAUCACGAAACAAUUAUUAAAUUUAAGUUGUGUGUCUAUAUUACCAAUCUCUUUUAUUUUUAAAUUCACUUUAAUAAAAAAAAAAAGUAGUUUAGGAAAAUCGUGGCACAAAAAGAAUGACAAAUAGAAUUUUAAAAAAUCAUAUGUAUAUGCAUAUUUUGUUUUGUUCUAAUUUCAAAAUUAUCAACCAUACUUAAUGUUAAUUUAGCUCUCGUUUUGACUUUAAAAAGAAUCGUUUUCAAACAUAUGUUGUAGCUUAUAAAAGUUAGUUAAGCGUGCUGAAAAUUUUUAAAUUAAACAAAAAAAAAACAUAAUUUUUUAUUAUAAAAAACUUAGAUACAAAAUUAUUAUUGAUAUAUAUUUGAAUGAGGUAUGAUAAGAUGGUAAGGGUUAUAUAAUUAAGAAACGUUUACUAUGUUGUUUCUAUAUUUUGUUCUAAUCUAUUAUUUUAAUUUUGAGUUAUCUCUUAUACAAAUAUGGAUAAUAUAUGAGUGCAUCCUUGAAUCCAAUGUCUUUGCAGUUCAUGUCCAUCACAAGGCAGAAAAUAUUUAAAAAUAUUUAGUAAAAAUAAAAAAAGAAAAAUUUUGUCAUUUGAUAAUCUUUGAUUGGUUAAAAUAAAUCAUAAAAAAAUGAGUCUUACCCAGGAUGUGCCCUAAUAUGUCUUCUUUUUCUUUCUCUUGAUAGAAUAGAAAAACUUAUUUAUUGUAAAUUAAUAUUUUUCCUAUCAUAGAUAUAUUUUUAUUUGAUCCAAAGCUUGAAAUAUUGUUACCAUUUCUAUCACUUAUGUUUGGAGUUUAAAUUUUAUUUUGAAAUAAAUAGGUUUCAUAAAUUUUUACCUUGAAUUUUAAGUUUUAUUUCCAUAAUUUCAUUGUCUUUGGUUUUAAAAUUUAAAAUUUCAACUUUGAUCAUUUACUUGAAUACCAAUGGUUCUUUGAUGUUUAUUAAUUAAUUUAAAAAUAAAUAAUUGACUAUAAUUAAAUUAGAUUGAUUAUUGAUCAUAUUAAAAUUAAUUUAAAAUGGGCGUUUACAUUAUAAUUAUUUUAAAUUAGUUAAUUAAACACGUCAAAUACAAAAGUGAGUAUUUGUAAAAAUCUGAGUAUAAAAAUGUAAAAUACUAAAGUUUAGUAGAGUGGCCAUAUGAAAACGAAUUAAUCACAAAAUUCAAUAAUAGAAGUACAGUGAUUAUUUAGAAUUUAGAGGACAAAUAAAAAUAAAAUCAAAACCGAAGAACAACAUAAUAGCUAGAUGUAUGAUUCACAAGACUUUCAUCAUCAUCUUAGGACAUCCUCGAGUCCAAAAGUUUUGAAACAUAUCUAUUUGAGAAAGAAAAAGUGAAAAACUAUUUCCACUUGAUACCUACUCUAUUUCUUGAUUUUUGUUUUUGAAAAUGAAGCAUAGGAAUACUACUUUUACUUUCAAACUUCUUUAUUCGUCAUCUACUUUUUAUCGAUUGUUUAAAAAAUCAAGCUAAAUUUAAAAGCUACACAAAUAACUUUCAAAAACUUGUUUUGUCAUUGCAAUUUUGCUAAACAUUCAAUCAUUGUGCUAUGCAAAUAAUUUAAGGUUGGAUUAGGUUUAAGGGUAUUGUGGGACCAACCCAAAUUUUUAAGUUGGUUGGGUUGGCUAGGCAAAUGACUCCGCAAGGAUUCUCGACUCAACCCUAAAGUUGGGUUGAGUUAUCACAUUGAAUAGUUUUUUUCUCAUUCCUAAUUUUUGUUAGGAUUAAAAACAUUAUAACGCCCUAUCCAUAAAAUCCACACAUCCAAAAAUAUUAAUAUAUAAAGUACAACAUCGUCCAUACUUGAGAGUUACAUUCACACAUAUAUAUAUAUAUAAUAUCAUUAAUUUAGGUUGGAUUAGGUUGAACCAAAAUUUUUAGAUUUCGUACUAAUUCGGGACACAAUUCAAUCCUUAUAAAUCACAAUAAGACACGAGAAAGAAAUAGGUUUAAUUUUUUUUAAAAAAAAAAAAUGGGCUUGAUUUUAGAAAACUAAGAAUAAAAAACCAAAUAUAUAAUUUGUAUUAUUAUUAGCUAUAAAAAUUCUUCAAAAACACCCACCAUCAAACCAAGCAUAAAUAGGCCAAUAGUAGGAUUGCAUAGGCAAACUCAUAAUUUAGCUAAAAUUAGAUUUAUUUAUUUAUUUAUUGUACUUUCAUUUAAUUUGUUGGGUCAUAAUUAACCCAAAAAAUAUAUUGAAUUCAUUUGAUUAUUCAACGACAGGAAAACGUUGGGAAAAUAUUGACAAAUUAAAUAAUUAAUUUCAUGUAAGUAUGAUUUAGUUAAUUAAAAUUGAAAACAUAUUUAUAUCUAUCUACCAAAUUUAUAAAUAUAACCAAUAUGCAGCAGCUAUCAAUUAUCAUAUCCACAUCAAAAAAAAAGAAAAAAAAUUGUAAACAAUAAUAAAUAGCUGGAAGAGGGUUGAAAAUAAAUGAAUUAAUAUUAAACCAAAUAAUUGGGGUUUGACAAAAACCAGAACUAAAAACUUUGCCGUAUCAGAUAGAAUAAUAAGAUCGCAUUAAAUUAUAAAUAAUAUUUCAUGACUAAGUCUGAAGCACGUCACACUAAAAUUAAUAAUUACAUCUUUCUGCUUAAACACACACAACCUUCACUAUCUUCUCCCCCACCACUGCUGUUUUUCCUAAUAUAUUUUCAUUUCCAAGAGAAUUAGAAUUUAGUUCUUACGUUACCUUCAUAAUUAAAAAUAUGGUCUUCAUAGUUUGAUCAAAAUAAACUUUUAUUAAUAGUUUAUACAACAAACAUUGUUUAUGUGAGAGUUUUAUCUAAUCCCAUGGCUAUUAUAUGUGAAGUUAUAAAAUUUAUGGACUUUUUUUCUUUUUUGUUAUAAUUUAGUCUUCUUUUUUUUUAAGUCUUUAAGCUUUCAUAAAAAUAAUAAGUUUUUGUAAUUUAAAAUUUAUAAGAAUUCAAUCCAUGUGAUAGAAUUAAUGGUAGAAUUUAGUGAUCUAGAUUUGAUGCAUAAAUGAUAAACUAAGGAAAAACUCAAUAUUUUUUAUAAAGUUUACCAUCUACAUAUUUUUUUAAAAAUGGCAAUAAUUUGUGUAUGUUAUUGGCUAACUUGUUACAAACUUAAAAAUAAUAAAACUUAAAUUAUUACAGUAUAGAAACUAAACCUUGUUAUAAAUUAAAUUUAGGAAACCUACGGUAAAAGUGUUUUAACAUACUUAUUUUCUAAACCAAGUAAAACCUAGAACUACUAGACAAGAAAAAUGUGAAAAGUUCUAUUAAAAUGUAAUGGCAUUUUUGUUUGUAUGUAUAUUAAUUGUGAUAAAUAAAUUAAGAGUAAAGUUUGUGUAAUGCUCUAAGUUUAGGGAAGAGACACGAAUGAACCAAUAUCACACUUAAAUAAGAGAUAUCCUAAGAACAGGAAAUUCGUAAGAUUAAGAAAAACUAAAAAAGAAUUAAAAACUACUAUUUAUAUCAACAAGAUGUACCCAUACUUUUAAGUGGUUUGAUCAUAGCAAUUUCAAAAGUUAAAUGUGUUUAGCUCGAAAUAAUUCGUGUUGAUUUGUGGGAACGACUUUUACUCUAAUAAGCAUUCACAAGAUCAUAUGUAUGAGAAUGUCGGAGAUUCUAAAUCUGAGACGUUACAAUUUGUUUAAUACCAUUAUUACCCUGUAUGAAGAUCAUAUGGUUAAUUACAAAUGAGAGUGUAUAGUUUGAAUUGAAAUGGUUGGGAAAACAUGAAUUUUGAACUAAAGAAAGUAAGAAGUAAAGAAGAUUAGAAUAAAUAUAUCAAAAAAGGAAAUCGUGAAAUAAACUUGCUGUAGUAGAGUCCAGAUAUAAAUUUAAAUAACCCAGAAACUGACCAAUAAAUUGAUUUCCAUUUAGAAUUAUAUUACUAAUACCAAAAAAGUAUGGUGGACGAAUAAAUUUGCAGUAUUACACAUCAACACACAUAAAAUGUUAUUGACGAACCAAAACUGCUAUGAUUUAUUUAAAUUAUGGUAAUAUGUCAAUUCAAUUUAAAAUAAGGGAUGGGUUUCUUAAACACCCUUACUGGAAAAUCAUGUUCUCCAGUUUGUCCUGUUACUCAGUAGUAUCUAUCAGUAAACAAUUUUAUAUACAAGUUGAAGGUGUGUGGUUUAAACUAUAAACCUUUUAAUUUUUAAACACAUAUAGAUGUUAGACAUACUUAUAAAUGAUGAGUAUAGAUGAACAAUUCUUCUUAUUAUAUUUAUUCAUUUUGAGAUAAAACUCAUAUUAUAUAUAUAAAAGUUAAUCUAUGUCAAAGUGACUUGUGUGUAACAAUUUGAAGUUUGUUCAUUUAGUUUUUUAAAAAAGUUUAAAAAAUGUAUAAUACUCUCGUAUUAUUAUUAUUAUUAUUGCUAUUAUUGCUAAAUUAUUAAAGUAAAAGUCACACUAUGAAAUUUUCUUUUCAAAAUUUAAAAGUUUAAAAAAUACAACUUUUAAUAUGAGAUAAAAAAAUUCCAUUACCACUAGUUUUAGAUGGAUAAACCGUUAGUAAGUAUGUUGAAACUAAAAGAAAUAAAUUAAAAUACUCUUACUUUAUAUGAACAAAAAUAAUUAAUAUCCUCUUGUCUCUUUAUUUUUCAUGUUUUUCUCCCUCCCUUCUUUCAUAUCUUCUUACUUCUCCUUUUAUUAAUUAUUGGACGUUUGUUUAUCUAAAAUAAAUAAAUAAAUAAAAUUACACACUUUAGUUAAAGUAUAUGAACUAUAAUAAGUCGGUCCAUAAUAAAAAAAAUACCAAAUAACUUUAAGUCAUAUAUUUUAGCAAAAUUGUACCGAUGGUUAAUAACCAAAUAUUUUUUUUAACUGAUAAUUAUUUAUAGUUUUGGUUCUGUUUUAAAAUGAGAUUUUAUGUUUUAGAAUUGUGUGAAAAAUUAUGGAGUUUUAUGAUUUAACAUAAAUUUUGGUUUUUAUUUUAGCGCAAAAAAUAUGAGAUUAUCUAUACGAAAAAAAAUGAAGUUAUUUAUAUAAUUGGCUUUAAAAUCGGUUUCUUCCAAUCUAAGAAAAUUUAAAAUACAUCGAUUGGCUUGUUAAUGGUAGGAGCAUUUUCUUUUACUUUAUUUUAAACUAAUUUUUUUUUUUUAAUAUGAAUUAAAAUUUUGUGUUUGGAUACUAAAUAUUUGAACUUUUAUUGAGUUCAUCCUAUUUUUAAAUUUUUUUUUGAAAGUUAAUAAAUACUUUUUAAAUAAAAUUUUAAUAGUUUUUAUCCAAAACUAACCAUCGUCAUAUUUAUUUAAUCUUUUUAAAGUUUAAAAGUAUUUAUUAAACUUUUAAAAUAACUUUGAGCGAUAUUUUUUACACAAAUUGUCUGCUUGUUUUUCAUAUAUUCAUGAAAUUUUAAACCAAUAUUAAAUAUUCUUUAUUGUCAUCAAAUUUUAAAACGAAGGAUGCUAUUAUCGAGAAAUAUUAAAAACUACAUUAAAUGGGUUUUUGAAAUAUCUUUUAAACCUAUGUGAUUUUUAUACCUAAAAUAUGAAUGUAGUCCGAUUAAUAAAUAAGUUAAUGUGUUAAUGAAUCAUUACUAUUCAUUUUAAUUAAUUAUUAAAUAUAAAUAUAUUUUUUAGACUUAAAAAAUUUCAACAAUGGAACUAUACAAUGAAUACUAUAAAUUAUUUAAAUGAUGAUUUAAACUCAUAUGUCAAAAUAAAAGUAAUUGGACUAACUAUAGUGUUUGUGCUAUAAAAAUUUAAUUUUUUUUUUCAUCUUAUACAUUUGGAAAAAAUAUGUAUAUCAAGUUUGAAGUUACCCAUUCUCACUUUGUUAUAUCAAAUGCUGCCAUGUUGCAUCAGUAUUUAAAUAUCAAUAUACACAAGUACAAGUCUAUUUCAUGCUGAAAAACAUCUUGUCUUUUAAAAUUUGGGGUCCAAACAAAUACGCAUCUCUUUUUUUUAUUAGUUCAAUUCAAAUAAGUACUCAAAACCUUUUGAAACAAUAAAAUAAAUAAAACCCGAGUUUAGUUUUGAUUGCAUAUACAUUCAAAUAAUCUUAAUUAAAUAACAUAAGAUAGGGUACCCCUUUUGACGGGAACAAUAUAAUAAAACAAUUAAUGAGUAAAUUAUUGAUCGGAAAUUGACAUUCGAAAUUAAUUAAAAAUUUAGAAAUUUCAACUUUGAAUAUAUUGCUUGGCAAAAGUAGUUUUAAAAAAAGCAAAGACAGUAUUUUUAAUUUUUCCUAAUUCUCAAAUGGUUUUGUGUGUAUCCUAAUAUCCCCCACGCGUUUUCUUAUUGGUGCAAGCCCAUGUCUCAUCCUCUAAACAUUUGUAUAUAUAAACUAACCAUUUCGCCUUUAAACCAUGCAUUAUUCAAAACCAAACUCCAAACCUCCAAAUAUGUAUACUCAUUAUUCCAUUGUUUUAUCACUCAUUUUUACCAAUCUACUUCUCUUCUCCAGCCUCUCUCCGACCACGGCGGCCGGAGGGAGUUGGAUGUUACUGCAGAGAAGCGUCGGCAUAUCGGCCAUGCACAUGCAAUUGCUUCAAAAUGACCGCGUUGUGAUGUACGACCGUACUGAUUUUGGUCCCUCCAAUUUGUCUCUGCCUGGAGGAAAAUGCCUUAGAGACCCUAAAGCCAAAAUAAAAGUUGACUGUACGGCACAUUCUAUUGAGUACAAUGUCAUCACCAACACAUUCCGACCACUCAUGGUUCUUUCCGACGUUUGGUGUUCCUCCGGCUCCGUAUUACCUGACGGUACUCUCGUCCAAACUGGCGGUUUCAAUUCCGGGGAACGCCGAGUCAGAAAGUUCAGACCCUGUUCCACCUGUGAUUGGGAAGAGAUUCCAUUAGCGCUAUCGGCCCGCCGGUGGUACGCCACUAACCAUAUUCUCCCCGACGGUAGACAGAUCAUUUUCGGCGGUCGACGACAGUAUAAUUACGAAUUCUACCCAAAAGACGAAGCAACUCAAAAUGUGUUCGAUUUGCGUUUCUUAGCAGAGACUAAUGACAAUGGCAUCGAAAACAAUUUAUACCCAUAUGUUUUUCUUCAACCUGAUGGAAAUUUAUUCAUAUUCGCUAACAAUCGAGCUAUUCUAUUCGAUUACACCAAAAACAAAGUGGUCAAAACAUUCCCGGCUAUUCCUGACGGCGAGCCGCGGAACUACCCGAGCACUGGCUCCGCCGUGAUGCUUCCAUUGAAUGUGGAUGCUAAAUUCAUUGAAGUUGAAGUAUUGGUUUGCGGUGGAGCUCCGAAAGGGUCUUAUGAUAAAGCCAAUAGUCAUGGAAUUUUUGUAGAGGCGUUGAGAACUUGUGCCAGAAUUAAAAUUACUGAUCAAAAUCCUCAGUGGGUUAUGGAAACAAUGCCGCAACCCAGAGUGAUGGUUGAUAUGUUGUUGCUUCCAAACGGCAACGUUUUGCUCAUUAACGGAGGUUCCGCCGGUGCCGCUGGUUGGGAAAUCGGCCGGAAACCGGCUUUAAACCCGGUUCUGUACCACACGAAUAACCCAGUUGGUAAAAGAUUCGAAUUGCAAAAUCCUACCACAAUUCCUCGAAUGUACCACUCGACGGCGAUACUACUCCGUGACGGUCGCGUUCUCGUCGGCGGUAGUAAUCCACACUCCUCAUACAAUUUCACCGGCGUACUUUUUCCGACGGAAUUAAGGUUAGAAGCAUUUUCACCUUCGUAUUUAGACCCUGAAUUUGCAUACCUACGACCCGCAAUCCAAUUCCCUGCUUCUUCGGUAAAGCUCCGGCAUGGGCAAGCAUUGAAGGUGGGUUUUACAGUCCCCGGUAAAGUUGACUCGACAAGAUUGUCGGUGACGAUUUUAUCGCCGUCGUUCAAUACUCAUUCGUUCUCGAUGAAUCAGAGGCUGUUGAUUCUUAGCACCACAAAGUACAGACUUAGAGGGAAUAAGAAAUAUGAAGUUGAGGUUACAAUUCCGGGAUCGGGUAAUGUUGCACCGUCGGGAUACUAUAUAUUAUACCUUGUUCAUAAGGAAAUUCCGAGCAUCGGUAUUUGGGUUCAAUUGAGUGAUAGAAAAUAAAAUUUGACGUCAAAUUCAGGAAAUUUGUGUUUGGAUUUAAUAAUUAAUUUUUAAUUUUCAUUUGUGUUUUUGUGUUUUUUAUUUAUUUUUUAAACACAAUAAUUGUCGAUAAAAAUACAGGGAGAAAAUUAGAAAGAAAAAAAUAUAGAGUGGUUUGAUUCGUUUCAAAUAAAUAAAUGUUGGAUUAGUUACUUGUAAAUUUCGUCGGGUGUAAAUAAUUAAAAUUACAUAGCUUGUUUUUCUGAUUGGUGUGUAAAUAAUUAAAAUUAUAAAUGGAUUAUUUCAAAUGAAAAUGUUUAUAAUUUAUGUGUCUCUUUUUCUAAUUUCAGCUUUCAAAGGUUGUACCCAUUUUUUAUUUCUCCAUAUUUCAAAACGUUUAAUAAUAGAUUAUUGAAUUUGGAAUUCCUGUCAAUGUUAAUUGAUAAUGAUCAAAUGAAGAAAAUAAAAACAAUUCAAUUAAAUUAAGGUCAUAGUUUAUAUUUUAAUAUUCUUUAAAACAAAUAUAUUAUUUAAAAAAUCAUGCGACAUUUUAGUGUCUAUCUAAUAGGUUGCACAAAGGUGUUUAAUAACAAUCAUUGGCUAAUUACUUGACAAUUGACACAAAUUUAAAUGCGUUGUAUAAAAAGUGAAUAAAAAAGCUUAUCAAUGGUCAAUAGUUGUAGGUUUAAACAAAUGAGAAAAAGAUUACUUUGUUCUUGAGAUUGUCUUAAUUUACGUGGGUAUCUAAAAUUUUAAACUCUAACAUAUAACUUUAAACUUUGAUAUAAUCUCAUUCUUAUUUUUGGAUUUUUAUUUUUCUAUCCACCAUAGUUAUAGGUAUAGUGAUUUAAAUUCUUUUACCUCAAACGUAUUCAAGUACACGACAAUUAAGUUUACACUCUUUUAUCUAAAAUUUUUCAUUUUUUCUUAUGAAUAAUGUUAAUUGAGAAUAAACUCUAGGUAGAAAAAGAGAUUCGUCUUUUUAGUGAUUAUUGGUACAAUGAGUCGUCAUAAUUCUAACUCAACCCAAUUAAGAUAUGAUUAUCUUGUUUGAUCCAAUAGUCAUAUUUUAAUUAGGAUUCAUAUUUUAUGAUAAGGAUGAUUCAUAUUCAACAUCAGUCUAUAUUUCGUUUCAUGUUUUUUGUUUCGCUAAAUUCUAAAAAUAUGUGUUGGAGAGACAAUCUCAAUUCUGUUCUAAAAAACUGUUUUUCGAAUUUUGUGAUACAAACAAUAUAAAUUUUGAAAAAAUACUUUUAUUUUUUAAUUGUAUCUAAAAUUUAAAUUUCAAUAUUUAAAAUGUAGAGUUAUAUUAAAUAAAAAAAACGUUUAGAAAUAUAACAAUGCAAUGUCAUGUUAAUAACUCUAAUUCAACUUAUUUUUAUUUAAAAUAUGUAUUAUAUAUAAUAUUAUAAGUUAUAUUAAAUUCCAAAAUGCCAUAUCUCUAUAGUUUGAAUAAAGUUAAAAGUGUUUUAAAAUUUAGAAUUUUAUUCAUAAAUAUUCUCUAUGGUUGGUUAAAUCCUUGUAAAGAGUCUCUACCCUAUGGACUAUUUAUGAGUUCUUGUCAAACCAUAAGAGUUUAAUUUAUAAUUAUGUAGGAAAAAGUUUCAAUUUAUUCUAUACAUUAUAUGAAAUUAUCAUUAAUAAUUCUAUCAUUUUUCUUUACAUAAAACUAUGUUAAAAAAUAUAUAUAAUUAAUUGUUACUGUCAACUAAUAUACAACUAGUUUACAAUUAUUUAAAUUAGAAUUCAAUUUCUAAAUUUCUAUAUGAAAAAAAUUAAUAUAAUUAAUAUAUCUGUUUUGGAUUUCUUAAUAGAUUUAGAAUUUUCUAGGUGGAUCUAGGAUUUCUUGAUGGAUAAAGACAAAAAAAAAAAAAAUCAUGAGCAUGAUCGAGAAAAAUGAUAUAUUGAUGAGUAUUGUCCAUCAAAAAAAAAAAUUUAUAAUUAUGAGUUUAUGAUAAGAUCAUGGACAAGACCCACAAAAAAAUGAAAAAAACUAUUUUUUACGAAGCACGAAAUUUAGACCAUCGUUAACGGGCUCGGAAAACAUGAUAUUCCUUAAUAAUAUUUUUAAAACUUUAUUUAUGUGUGAAAAAUUCUCCAUAAACAAACUAUACAAGUGGGAAAAAGAUUACAAAUAUAAUUACAAUUCAUAAAUAAAUAACCAACUUAACAACUCAAUGAGCUGUCUUCUUAGUGCACCUCAGUUAUCUAGUUUGUGAGGUGUAACAAGAAGUCAUGAGAAUAAAAUAGCUUAGCUUAACCCUCUAAAGUUACAAUGAGAUGACUUCCAAUACCUUCUUUCUUAUUUGAUUAAGACUGAUCUAUUUAUUAAUUCUUUUCUUUGGGUGGAUGUAUAAUAUUUUGCACAAUAUUCCUCUGGGUUAAUAACUCUCUGGCCUCCACCUAGUGGUCAAUAUAUCAUGCCCUGUCAAUCUAACAAAUUGUAUAUAUUUUUUCCGUACCAUAGAACGUGAUAGUAAAUUCUAAACAUCGAGUUUAGUUUGAAAAUGUAGAGAGGAUUGAUAUGGAAUUCAAGAGAGUGCAUUUUGUUUCCCUUUUAAACCAAAAUAACUAGAAACAGAGAGAGAUAUGUCAUUAAAACAAAACUAAAUAUAAUGGGUUGGUGUUGUAAUUUUCACAUUUAAAGGAUGUUAUGAUUGAUGAGAUAUGGGGGAUGAGAUAAAUAUAGAUGAGAUUUUUAGAAAGAGGGUUGAGGGAAAAUAGGGUUAUUAUUGGUUGUGAUGGAAAGGAGUAAAGGAGUGAGAGAGUUAUUUCCAAAAUGGAAAAAAAGAGAAAGGAAUGGAAGUGGGUGACUCUGUUUUGCUUUAGCCAAAAGAAUCAUAUGAAUAUAAUGAACUUUUACAUAUGGUAUGGGAUCAUACCAUCAUAUACCAUGAAUAAUAAUGGAAUGAACGACAAAAGAAGGUGAACCAACUCCACGUAUCCUUUUCGUCAUCAAAUUUCAACUUUGUCAUAUUAACUAUGUAUGCUCCAAAUUCAAUAUAAAUCAAUUUCCUCUACGAAUCAAUUCCAAACCAAGAGAAGAGAGUUUGUUUUCAUUUUCAACCAAUCGUCGUCAUCCAUCUAUAUAUUUUCAUAUUUACUUUCAUUGUCAAAUGUGUGUAUAUAUAUUUCACGUGUUUAAAUCAAUAAUUAAUUAUAUAUAAAUGGUUGAUAAUAAUUCAUGAAUAAACUUAGUUUAUUUACAAUGUUAGUCAUGUCCAUACGGAUAAAAGAUAUCACUUUUUUUAUUUGAUCGAUGAUAUUUGAUCUCACAUCUUUAAUGGUAAAUUUAAUUUAUUGUUUUGGAGAAGAAAUACAACAAGCAAUAUAAGAAAACAAAAUAUCUUACGCAUAAAUCAAUAUUUGGCAAAAGAGGUAGAACAUGCUAGAGAGGGAAGAUAAGAAGUAACUCUUUUGUUGGGCUUCCAUGUUUUAUUUAUAACGAAAGUCGGGGUCUUCCUUAUUAUCCUUUCAGAUUUAGAAUCUAAUUUUCCCUAAAUCAUAUUUUUCCUUGUUUGACACAUAUAGUUGGAUUUGAGCUACCAAGAACAAUGUUUCAAAAUGGAGGGUUGAUCUAAAUCAACCACUCAUGUAAGAUUAUUAAGCUUGGCUUUAGCUCGGCCGUAGCUAAAAGGCUAAAGCAGGCCAUAAAAGCUCAAUUUUUCUGGUAGCGCAAUUAAUUGUGUUUUGGCCCAAUUGUCUUUUCUCCCCAUUUGUUACGAGCUCUCUUGACCUCGCUUACUCCUACUGCUCUCAGGUCCAGUUUUUGAGAUUAGGCAAUUUUGCUAAGUUUUUACUUUGAUGAUCUUUAUUGUAUUGACCCAAAAUUAUCCCUAACAAUAGAGAAAGAAGAGCCAAUAGAAUUAGAUAGUUUAUAUGGUACAAAUUUUAUAAACUAUAGAGUAAAUAACACGAAUUAAAUAGCCAUUUGAAGACAACUUGAGUUUCAAGAGGCACUAUUGAGAUAUCUGCAUUGGACAAUACAGUACUAAUAACAUAAGGAAACAUUAAUCUUAUAUUUGAUCGACUACUUACAUUUUGAGUCUAACGAUUUUAUAACUUCUUAAACUUCAUAAAUUAUUUCACUUAUUUCAAAUAUCCGUCUCUGUGUAGAUAAAAACCGAAAACGACAAUAAUAAAAACUUUUUUCAAAAUAGUGUUACAUAAACUCUGUUAAAGAUUAUGUCCAUUUUUGGAAGAGUAAAUUUGAAAGUAUUAGUUAAUUUUAGAAAGUGAGAGGUUGAGUGAAAACAACUAUUGUUAAUGGUUGUUUUUGUGGCCAGUGAGCAGUAUAUGAACAAAUUGUGAUGAUUAAAAAUUUAAACAUAAACCAUCCAAACUAUAAUGCUAUUUCAUUGUAAAAUAUAAGGGCGUUAUGAUUAUAUUGUGGGUUAUUUAUGUGAGUUCAUGCAUUCCAAUACAUCUAAUUAAAAUGGUAUAAAACUCAAAAGGAAUGUACAGUCAAGACUUUGGUUGCAACGCCAGAAGCAAAAAAUUCAAAGCAAUCAAAUUUAAUAAAAGUAAAGUUGUAUUUAGUAUUGUCAUACAUGCAUUUGGUAGUAAAUUUAAAAUACUUUCUAUACUGUUUAUAAAUUAAAAAAUUAUUGUCGGUGUCCACUAAAGAUUAUUUUUUAUACCAUUAUUGUUUUGUAAUAUUAUAUAAUUUAGAAAAAAUUGCAUAAACCACCCAAACGAUGGAGUUAGUUACCAUUACAACCUAGCUUAAAUUUUCAAAUUUUAUCUAAUUGUGUCCAUUUAUGUUUAUCCCCGCUUAUUUCUAUGGUAAAAAUAGUUGUUGCACCCUGGCUAAACAAAUAUCGAUUGCUUUUCAAGGUUAACACAGUUUUCUAGUCGAAUAGAAAAUUUUGAGACCAAUCACAAAUUGUCACUUUAUUUACUAAAUUAACGAUGAAAAAUACAAAUAAUUAAUUUUGUGACUAAUUAAAAAAAAUUGACAUGUGGUCAAAAUUAAAACUGAAAACAUAAAUUGGUCCAUUCUAAUGUUGGAUCAAGUUAAUUAUUUUAUUCAAUUAAAUAUUAUUAUUUGGGUUAAGUUCAAUUGAGUCCAAAAAUAAGUUUAAUUUAGUUAACACAAAUUUAUGUGGUUGAACCUAUAAAUCUGGUUCAUGGACUAACAGACUUAAACUCAUAAAGCUGGAGAAGUCUACGGCAACCCUUCAAACAGAUGAAGUUUUAAACUUUUGGGUCUUACCAAUAACUUUUCUAACACAUUAUUAUAAAAUCAUGUGUUGAUGAAGCCAGGCGUAGUGUCAUUUUAUUGGGUGACAGUUAACAAAAGUGGGAAAAAUGACACAAAAAUCUGGAGUUCACCUUUGAAGCACCUAAGCAAACAAGAGUUGGAUAUGAAAAAAGAAGCAUAAGGAAUAUAUGUAAUUACAUAAUUACUCAUUAAUUAAUUUGGUCAGUGGAUUUUUCAUGCCCAACUGGAUUAAACAGACGUGUUAAUUACUUAAUUAAUUAAUUGUGUUGAAAGGAAAGAAUAAUUGUCGGGAAGAAGAAACUACGGAAUGAGUUGGCAAUAUGGAAAUACCAAACACAAAGAGAACGUGUGGGCAUGUCGAACCCUGAACUGGGCCCAAGGCCCAUUAUGGCAUUUUAGUAUGGAUUAUAUUUGGGUUGGUAUUAGAUAGAGAUAAGAGAUAACUGGGUCAGGCUCAUCGAGGCCUUUUAGUAGCGAGUCGGGCCGAACAAGUGAGCCGUUAGUGAAUGGUGUUUAUGAUCGAGAAAAUUGAUAAUCACGAGAAACAGUUAAUAGGAUCACGAGGAGGAGAGCACGUCGGAGCAUUCCAAUUUCCGAACCAUUCAAACUUCCUUUUACUUUAACUCUUCCUCACGGGUUUUUGCAUUUUAAUAAAUAAAUAAAAUUUGAAAAUUUGAAAAAAGAAAAAGAAGAAAAAGUAUAUUCUUAAAUGGAAAGAUAAAAACGCAGAAGGAGAAGGAACGGUCAAGAUUUAGGAAGAAGACAAGACAGACAAGACUUGGGAUUAAAAAGAGAGAAAAUCUCAGAGAUAAUGACUUAAAUGAAAAGUCUUAGGAAACCCAAAAAAAAGAAAAAAAGAAAAGAAAAGAAAAGAAAAACAGAGUCCAAUAAAAUCUAUUUAUUUCUAAUGCCUACUUCUCUUUUUCUCUCUCUAUUUGAAUUUAUUUCCUUUAUUAAUUGAAAAAUCUUAAUUCUCGGAAUGCCCAAACAAAUCCACCCCACCACUUUUCGGUUUUUGGUUUCUUUUAUUUUAUCUUAAAAAAUUUUCUCUUGCUUUUGCUUUAGCUAUUUGCUAUUGCUCUUUGCUUCCCAUUUGGAUUAGGGUUUCUUCUUGCUUCAUCUUCUUCUUCGUCUUGGAGUGAAAAAAAAAAAAAAGAAAGGCUGAUACCCUUCCCGAUCUCUUCUACUAGCCGUUAACUUCCCCCCUUUUUCCCGCCAAUUUUAGCUUCUCUUUACUUCCUUUUUUCAACCCCUUUGCUUUCCCCUUCCUCCUGUCGUUUUUUGCUCCCGGUGUCUUUUGGGAUUUUUUUUUUUUUUCCGUUGCUCUCUCUGAGCUUGGCGGGAAAUGUCUACGCUCGAUGACGGUUCCAAGGUCGAGGAGGUUAAGGAGAAGGAAGAGAAAGCAGGGGAGCUUUUGUUUUGUGGUGCUACCUCUUGGGAUAUAAUUGGUCGAAAAAAGGGUCCCGUUGAAGGCAACUUGGUCUCUCCUACUCGCCUUCGUCCGCUUGUCGGCAUUGACAUUCGUUUUGUUGCUUCUGGCUGCAGUAAGUUUUUGCCAUUCUGUACAGGAUUGGGUUUUUUUUUUUUUUUUUUUGGUUUUGGAAUAGAUAGAAUAGGUUAUGUUUGGUUUUUACGUUAGACUUUUUACUCUGAACUAGACAGAGUGGUUGUUUGAUGUAUUUUGUGGUGUGUUCAACUCUGAUCCUGCAUUGCAGUGAAGUGGUUUUUGACGUUUUGAAUGUUAAUCUUGGCGUAGCAUCGUGUCAUUGUGUGGCAUUGGACGUGGAAGGUCGUUGCUAUACCUGGGGACGCAAUGAGGCAUGUUUACUUUCAACUCUGAAGAUUAAAGCCAUUACAUUUUCUUGUAUAUAUAUAGUUUCUUGUCUAUUAAUUGUAACUUUCCUGAACCAUCAAGUGAUUUGUGUUCAGAAAGGUCAAUUGGGUCAUGGAGAUUUGAUUCAGCGAGAUAGGCCUACUAUAGUAUCUGACCUUUCGAAGUAUGUUACUAUAUUUGACGGAGGUUUACUCCAUUGGAUUUUUUAGGUUUUGUAUGCUUUUCUAAGAGUUAAUGAUGUAUGUGCCAAGGUACAAGGUGGUUAAAGCUGGAGCAGGGAGAAACCACACUGUUGUGGUCACGGAGGAUGGAAAUUCUCUGUCAUUUGGUUGGAACAAACAUGGCCAGUUGGGUUCAGGUUCUAUAAAAAAUGGUGAGUUGAGUUAAUUAGAGUUUUUACUAAAGGCAAAUGCUUAACUCUUUAUGCUGCAUUGUUUAGGUAGAGAAAUCUGAAAUGCCCCUUGCAAUGGAUGUAUAUGGGAAUUGGGUGUCAAUGCAUCUCCAUAUGUUAUGUUAAAUUAAUUUGUAACUCACAAAUUUUCUUAUACUUGAUCAUUGUUUUUUGUUUGUUAUUAUGUAGAGAUUGAGUCAUCUCCUGUCCGUUGUCUUGUGUCUGAAGUGAAAACUACUGCUUGUGGGGGUGAAUUCACUGCGUGGUUAACUUCUAUUGAAGGAGCUUCCAUACUGUAUGGUUUGUGGUUAUCUUUACAUUUUAAUUUUUUAAUUGUUCUUGUUGGUUUCUUGCUUUGUUUCAUCCUUCGUCACUCCCUGUAGCAAUGGUUAUUUUGUCUGUUUGGUUUAUUCAGUACUGCGGGUCUUCCUCAAUAUGGACAGCUUGGUCAUGGAACAGAUAAUGAGGUACUAUACAAUAUUUUAUUACUACUUUUUCUUUUAUUCCUUUUGAUUUGUAUUGAACAAAUGGAGAAUCUUUCACUGAUGUUGUGAGAAACAUUGCAUGAUGUUCAUGGAAGUAUUGCAGUCUGCUAUGAGAUUACCAAGUUUGAGGCACAUUUUCGAAAUUAUUGUUCCAGUGUGGAAUCUGGUUUUUGCGAUUUAAAUACCCAAACGACCUUUAUGGUCUAUGUCUGAACCAUUAGUUGUGAUUGUUGAAGAUGUAAUUUUUCAACUAUUGGCUUCCCUCAAAGUUUGCUGAUUUUUUAACUUUCCAUCUAUUCCAUGGUUAUGAACUAUAGUACAACGGUGUUUCAAGUGAAAUGCUUGUUUGCCCAGCAUUUUGUGUGAUUUUAUAAUGUAGUAGGGUUUUAUUAACAUUGUGAAAAGUUUUCUGUGAUGUGGUCUUGCUGCAACAUGUUUUAUGGGAAUCUGACAGCAUUUUAGGCCUUUUUUUGUUCAUGAACCUGAGUACUUGCUGUAAUUUUACUUUCUGUAUUAAUAAUCUGCGAGAAUUGGUGCAUAAUUAUGCACAUUCAUCUUUAUUUGCGAUGGUUGCCUAAUACCUUGAACACUAAUGCACUUGUAAUGAUAAGAUAUGCUAAGACUUACUUUUACAUGAAGCAUUUCUAAAAAUGUGAUUGCAGUACAACACGAAGGAUAGCUCAGUGAGACUUGCUUAUGAAGCCCAACCACGCCCUAGAGCAAUUGCUUCCCUUGCUGGAGAAAAAAUUGUUAAAGUUGCAUGUGGAACAAAUCAUACAGGUUUGUCACACAACUUUCCUCUAUGAUAUGCAGCCACUUUGGAACCUGUUGGACAGGUUUGUUAAUACUUCCAUUUUCUGAUAUUUAAUAUAUCUUUAAAUGAAAUGCAGUGGCUGUGGAUUCUAAUGGUUUUGUCUACACGUGAGUGUUUCUUGAGGCUACUUUUUUGACAUCUCCUUUGUUUUGUCAAAUUUUGUAUACCAUGUGGAUUUUAAUGGCUUCGUUUUGUUGAUGUUUACUUCUACUUUUAGGUGGGGUUUUGGCGGUUAUGGAAGGUUUGUGAUAUGAAUCAGCUUGCAUUUGGUUACUUCAAAUCCACAACUUGAAUACCCUUUCUAGCUCAUCUUCUCUUUAUCCUCUCACUCUCCACCUCCCCCUCUUUGUCUAGCUUUUAAAUGUUUGUUGACUUUUUUUAUGUUUCUAUUUGCAGACUUGGGCAUAAAGAGCAGAAGGAUGAAUGGGCUCCUCGACGUGUCGAUAUAUUCCAGAGGAGAAAUACAUUGCCUCCUGAUGCUAUCAUUUCAGCGGGGUCUGUGAACUCUUCUUGUACUGCAGGUACCAGUUCUUAACACGAGGGCCUGGACAUUAUUUUGAAAACUGAUUUUCAGAUUAUUUUACGGUUUUCAACUGUUUCUUGUCUGAACUUUCUUUUGGAAGGACGAGGAGUAAGGAUAUAUUUCUGUACUUGGCUUUCCAUUUUACUCUUUGAUGAUUUGUCAUUAUUCAAUUUUAGUGGUUAUAUACGCUAAAACAAACCGUUGAAUUGUUGCUUUACGAAACAAUGUAAAUACUUGAAAACAACUAAUUGAUGCUUCUUCUCUCCCUUUGUGUGUGUGUUUUAAAUAAAUUACUUCCAUUUAGAAAAUUCUUCUAUCGAGUGAAUUUCCUUUUACCACCACUGCCUUUGAACUUUAAGUUUCUAAUAAAUCUUCUGUUUGCUAUGUAUGUUACUCAUGCUAUGGCAUGCCUCAACUUCGUAGUGUUUUGAAUUGUUAUCCACUGAUAUUUGUGCAACCCUUCACUCAUCUGUUUCUUGCUUUUGAGUUUGUUUUUCUUUAUUGCCAGAAAUCUUCUAGAUUUUAAACUCUUCUGUCUCUUUGUAAUUCAAGUAUUAGUCUCUUUUUGUAAUUAUGACGUUGUUUCUGUUAAAAGAAAAAAAGACAUGAUUUAUUGAACUUGAACUUGAGGUAUGAUACUAAGCUAGCUUUUUGGUACGUAUUGACAUUUUUUUUUCCAGGCGGAGGGCAGUUAUAUAUGUGGGGAAAAAUAAAAAAUGCAGGAGAUGACUGGAUGUAUCCAAAACCUCUCAUGGAUUUAAGGUUUUAUUCUUUGCUAUAUGUUGCCUUAUGUAGAGUUUUUCUCCCUUUACUUUUAUUAUGCCUGUGAAUUUGAUUUCUUGUAUUGUACCUUUUCUUUGGAAUUAUUUCAUAUAUUGCUUCUUCAAGCUAUGUGCUUGUUUCUUUUUACUCAGUGGAUGGAAUAUAAGAUGCAUGGAUUCAGGCAACAUGCACCAUUUUGUGGGUGCCGAUAACUCGUGCAUAAGUUGGGGCCAUGCACAAUAUGGAGAGCUUGGAUAUGGCCCAAUGGGGCAGAAGUAUGUCCUAUGCCUCUUGCCUCUCUAGUUGUUCAUCUUAAAUCUUAGCUUAUUCCAGCCUCUGCUGUUUAGGUCUUCUGCGUUACCCAAAAAGGUUGAUAUCCUGGAGAACAUGCAUGUCAUAAGGUAUAUUAGUAUUUACAUGUAUAGACUUGUGGCUCUCCUCAAGUAUUGUUGGAUUUUACAAAUUUUCAUUUUUGUUGUUGUAGUGUUGCAUGUGGUGCUGGACACUCUAUGGUUGUUGUUGAUAGAACAAAUGUAGCCGAUCGGCUUGAUCAGGUAACGAUUUAAAAGUAUUUAUUCAUCAAAUGUAGCCAACCGUUGAUCGACUUCACACCCAACGACAUUUAAUUUGCUUUCUAAAUAUUUUGGUUUCAAGGUAGAUAUCAAUGCAUUCAAAAUGUUAUGGGUUUAAGUUAAUGGUUUAUGGAAAUUGUUUUAAUUAAUUGUAAUUAGAUUCCACAGAUAUUCCAGCCUUGUUUGAUAAACACUUUUCUUCUCUAUUUUCUGUUUCUUUAAUUUUCAGAGCGCAAUAUUUAGGGACAUGUAUGAAAAAUGAGGGGUUGGAAAACAAUUCCAAACAUACAUCUUUCUCCUUUUGUUGAUGACUACUAUUUACCUAUCGACAGUCAUUUCCUUUUUGGUUUUCAUUAUACACUACUUUUUUACUUGGGUAAAACUGUAAAAGUAUACAUCUAACUUUUAGUGGAUUUGAUAACAGCUCGAUAUACACGAUGGCAAAGCUUUUGAUGAAGGUACGUGAACACUAGUAAUAAACAAUAUAUAUGGUUAUCAAGAAUAAUCAAAGACCGUUUUGGCCUGCGAAAAGUUAGAUUACGAUAAUUAUAGUGGGGAUUUCGGAGACUGAAGCUGUUAUUCUUGAUGCAGUGAAUGUGGUAUUGGAAGCAGUACCACAGAGUAAAGGUUCAGCCAUCAAGCCAAGUUCAAAGGCUGCUAAAGCAUCACUGAAGGCCAAAAAGAGGAAGAAGUCAAAAGAUUCAUCAGACUCGGAGGAAGAAGAGGAAGAAAAUGAAGAUGGUGACAGUAGCGAUGAGGAGGCCAAUGGGCUAUCGGAUACGAGCGAACAGUAUGGGAGCAAAAGUAAGGGUAGAGGAAAGGGUAGUAAAAAGCCAUCCAGUGGUGGGAAAGGCAGUGGUCGUGGACGGGGUCGUCCCCCAUCAAACAACAAGAAACCAGCAGCUUCUCAAGGAAAAGCAGGAGCUAAGAGAGGUAGACCUCGGAAGACAUGAAGACAUCCAUUAUAGUGUAGGUUUAAUUGGUGACCCUUACUUCAGUUAAAGUGAAGCCAACCACUCUCUUACACCAGACGAUGUAUCUGCAGUUUUGAGAUUAUUUCACCAUUUAUUUUUCAAUGAUAUGAUUAUUAAGAGAUGUACACUAACUUACCUGAUGACAUUGAUUAUUCAGAACUUCAGCAAGUUCUUUUGAGCUUUGAAGGUUUAUCGAGUGUAAAAACAUUUCGAAAUUUUUAGAGCUAAAUGGAAAGUCUCUUUCAUGUGAUUGCUAUUAUGUUACCUCAUAGACCAGCACUUUCAGCACCUACUGUAAUCUUGUUCUUAAAACUUCUGCAAUGGUGAGAACAGGGGACUUUUCAGAAGAUUGACCCACAACCAUCCGAUAUUUGGCAAAUCUUGCGGAAGUUUGUGCCAGGGCCAAUCCGAGCAAUCAUGUUUCCUUCAAAAGCAAGGAAUGGGAGGAGGGUUCACCUCACUCCUAAGCUGGAAUACAGCCAUGGGAUGAGGGGAGGACCCUCAUCUUCAAGGACUCUAACAUCUCAACCCUCUCUUAGAAAGAGGAUGCUGUUGGAUUACUGGUUGUGGAGAGCUUGUGCAUAUUAUUCUCCCUUUGUCUUUUUCUGCAUCUUUCCAGUUCAUAAAGCAAGGUUCACAGUAACAUCUUAUGUUUGCCAUAUUGGUGACACUGUCACAUUCAAUUCAAAAAGGAAUGAAAGCAUAACAUGCUACACAUCGAACCGGGUUCAACAUAUGCUUUAGAUAAACCCGGUUCAAAGUAUAUACAAAAUAUUUGAUUGAUUCAAAUUUUGAGUUAUUUGACAUUUGUUAUUGUUAGAUGGGUCAGAUCCCCAACUACAGUAUCUCUAAAGAGAGAGCUUUGGGGGCUUGUGGGGGAUCAAGUGGCUUAAACAUAAACAUACAUUGAUUCCUUGUGGUCUUCAUAAAUUCAAAGUUAUGGCCAAUUUUAGUACAUUACACUUAGAAGGAUUCACAUGAUUCUUCGCAAUCAACCCAUGUGAGUGUGGCUCCACCAGACAUCCCAUGGUGGGAGGUCCUUCGUCCUAACGGUGAAUUGUCAUAUGACUAAUAAUAUGCUCUGGUUGGUUCUUCAAACAUUCUUCACCAACACAAUUAUUGUCUCUCUUGUCACGGAUUUUGCUUCAUUUCAACUCCAAAUCCUUUGUUAAAUUUAAUCUAAUCUAUUAAUUUUCAUUCAUAAUUAGACAGAUAUUAAUAUCUACACUCAAUCCAAUAGGUCAGAGUUCAAAUACAUAUGUGGUAUGAUAUUUUUGGCAAGUGUUCUGUUAUGUUUAAAAAACCAGCACUAUAAUUGUAUUUUUGGAUAAACUUUUAACUUUGAUUUAAAAUAAAUUUUGUGUCUAGCAACAGUAUGGUUGGUUAUUAUGGGCAUUAAUGUCAACACAUGCACAAGUGUGGGUUAUUUCCUGCUAUUGGUUGGUGAGUGGUUGCAUCUUGGAAGAGGUGUCCUACCAAAAACACAUAGUUGUUAUUUCAUUAAAAUAAGAAAUAUGUAUUGGCACAUGAGAAAUAGAGUUCUAAUUAUGCUCAAAUUUGGGUUUGUCAUAAACAAAGAACGUGAAGGUAAUAAGGUUUGGCUAGCCAAGCAUAUUGGCGAAGCCUAUUAUGAUUUCAUAACCACUCUUGUAAAUUUGCACAUAUUGUUAGUAUGAUUUUUUUCUUCGAAAAAAGAAAAUUCCGAUGCCUCUUAAAAUAUUGGUUACCUUAGUUCGAUAUCCUCCAUUCUUAAUAAAGAUUGUGUUUGUACUCAAACCAUGGUUUAUUAAAGUUUUUCUUCCUAAAAAUGUAAUCGUGGUUGUUCAAUUUCAAAUUUAAUUUUAUGUCAUAAUAACCACCUCUCUAAAAAUUAAUUUUCUACUAGUUUCUUUGACACUCAAAUGUUGUAGAAACAAGUAAAUUGUCUCAUGAGAUUAGUCGAAGUGGAUGUAAGCUAUGAACAUUCACGGGUAUAUAUAUAUAUAUAUAUAAAAUAAUUUCAUAUAAUUUUAGUUUUCAAUUGCUUAUAUGUUACAGAUUAUUGAGACAUUGUUAGUUUCAACCCUCGACCUCCUUAUAUCUCUUAUUGCGUUAUGAAAAUGAUAAUCUUGCACUAAAAUAACGAUUCACUAAAACAUGAUGAAUAAUGGUUGUGGGCUUGGAUGUGAAACACAUCUCCUACUUAGAUGGUGAUGUUGGAUGAAUGUUGAAAUAGGGAAAAGACUACAUAUUAAUAAUUUGUGUGAUUGAAUCAAAUAAUAUGAAUGGAAAGAAAAGAAAAAUAGAUUAAAAAGAAAAAAGAAAAGAGAAAUGAAAAGAAAAUGAUAGAAAGUAUAUAAGAUAAAAUUAAAAGAUGACAGAAAAUAGGUGAUUGAUCUGAAAUUAAUGUAUUUAAGUAAGUCUUAAAAAAUGGUCUCCAAGUAGAGGUACAUCCAUUGCCGCCAAUUUCAUUGAGUCUCACUGUCUUUGUCCAUAUUACUCUGUCACACAUUUUCUGUCUCCUUCAUUUCCAAUCUUCCCCAUCUCACACAUGUGGUAAAAUAAUUGGGGACCUCAAUCUCACUAUUAAUAUCCAAUAUUAUUUUAUACUAUUUUUUUAAAUUUCUAUUAUUGUUAUUUUAAAAAAUGAAAAUCAUGAACAAAAUUAGUGGCAUUAAUCUAGAAAUCUUCCGUCCCAUCUAAUCUCUUUUAAUCUCUCUAUUUUGUACAUAUUAUUUUAUUAAAUUGAAUUCAUUUAUUUGAUUUAUUAUUGCUGAAAUUAUAGAAGCAAUAAUUUAAUUGUAUAAUUGAACAGUGAAAGAGAUUGAAAAACACAAAAGUAUAUAUAACCACAUGAUAUUUUAUUAAAUUAAUUAAAACGAUAUUUGACUUAGUAAGCGUAAUUGAUCGCGAGAAAUUGUGGAGAAAAUGAAAGAUUAAUUAUUUUUAUGUACAAUAGUUGAAAGUUGAAAGGAGGCCAUAAGCCUUUCUUCCUCGGCUACCUCACUCUCCUCUCGCUGCUUCUCUUCUGCUGCUACGGAUUUCAAAUGCCUAAAUUUUGUUGAAUUUAGUCGCCUUUUCAGUUCCAGAUUCCUCUUUUUGGUGCUCCCGAUGCUACUCUAUUCGUGGAGGGUUUCUGUUUUUCGUCUUCUAGAUCUCUGAAAACAGUGGGCGAGAGGUUUUGUAGCUAUGGGGAAGUCUACUUCCUGCUUUAAGAUUAUCGCCUGCGGUGGCGAUUCCAGUGAUAAAGAUGAUAUUGAUAUUUCUGAGGUAUCUAUGUAUCUCAUUGCCUCUUACUUCCCAUUUUUCCCUUUUCAUUUGCUUUCUCUACUUUUUCUUUUCUGCUUUUUUCUUUUCUUUUCUAUACUCCAAUUUAGUCUCUAAUUACUGGAAGUGAGCAAUGUACUUCCUCCUCGACUUUACUUAGUAAGAAAUGUUUGAUGUUUACUGGAUUUGUGUUACUUAAUGCUCUACUUUGUUUCUCGCUUAUCAAAUAAUUGGAAUUAACAGGAGAUUUGUUUGGCAUUUUAUGAGAAAUGGUGCUGCAUUCAAGAUUCAAUUUUAUUGCUAAGUAUCUUCUGUGAGAUUAUGCCUUUAUGUAGUGUUAGAAGGG